rnacentral:lncRNA from 1 species
GUUAAGUUGUUUCAAUGGUUAAAUUCCAUGGCAGGAAAACAAUAUGACACAGAAGCACUUGAAUUGUAUCGCCAAGAAGCAUGGUUAGCCACAAGGGAUCUGGUGCACAAACACAACCAGCUGGCAGAACUAGGUCUUAAAAACUACACUUUGGCAAUGAAUCAGUUUGCAGAUCUGGUAAGUUUGUCGAAAUCAUUCUGGAGGUAUAUUAUUUAUUUUGUUAAAAUUCAAUUGUUUUCUGUUCUAUACCAGAUUAUAUAAAAAUCUAAAAUAAUAUAAUAAUAUAUAAAAUAAAAAUUAACUUUAAAAAAAGUCCAAUAAUUAACAGGGCUGUAAAAACUCUUCUCUAUACUCUGGUAAUAUGUGUAAAAGAGACUCACCAACAUGUGGAAUGUUGCAAAAAUUAUGGUGUAUUGAGGUCCUCCCUUUCCAUUGCUCUGCAUUUUUUUUGAUUAUAGUUGCAAUAAUUAUUAUGCAUGAAAACGUGAAUGGAGGUACUUUGUAACUUAAUAAAGCGCUAUGGAUUCUAGAAGCUGUUUUUUCAAAAAGCUGCAGCCAAAAAGCUGCAUCCAAUCAGGAAAAUCCUUAAUAUUUUUAAUUUUUCAAUAAUGCAUUAAUUGUGUAAUCAACCACCAUGGGAUUGCCACUUUAAGAUGAAUAAUUUCUGGAAAAUAUAGUUAAUAUACUUUGCUUGAAAUACAUCUCAAAGAGCCACCACCAAUGGUUUUGCAAUACCAUUCAUUGAUUAUAAAAGAUAAACCACUGGAAUUGCAGGAGGACUAGUGUUUGAACAACUUUUCUAGAUCUACAUUAUUUGUGCUGACUUCCUGGAAAAGGAACAUUUUACAUUUCAUUAUACAUUUUUUCUCAGUUUUUUUUAAUACUGCAUAAAAUGUUUUUUUUUAUCAGUUGUAAUAGUAUGCAAAAAUUAAGAUAAAAUAAAUGGUUUAUUUGCUUAAUAUUGCCUUUAGUGAAUGGAAAUAAGUGAUUGAAAUGUAUUUUUAAUAAAUACGGCUAUCAUGUUUCAGACCCCAGAAGAACGGGCUUCACACAUCAGCCUUGGCUUGAAAGGACAAUUUGCAAUCUCACAUCAUACCCAUAAUCGCCAUGGAAAUAUGCCCGUUAUUCCUGAUGAAUAUGACUGGAGAAAUUCAAAAUGUGUGACUCCAGUUAAAAGUCAAGGCGAAUGUGGCUCAUGUUGGGCAUUUGCAACGGUAAAAACUAUUUAUGAGCUUAUAAGAAUAGGUUUAUGCAACUCAUUUGUUAAUUUAUGGUUAAUUCCCCAUGAAUAACAUUGAAGUUUGACUGUCACUGUUAGGGUAUUUACAUUUUAGCCAAGAAAUGUCCUUUUACAAUGUUGUGCCUGGGGGCAAAAGAGAGCAGGUAGAUAAACAUCCCUGAACUUUUACUCCUUGGAGCGGCCAUCUUGUUCCUCAAAUCAGAACUUCAACUCAUUGCAGCUUCCUCUGUCAGGACUUGCAUCACUAUUGAACAUAAACACAAAUAGAGUACAAAAUGGUGGCCUAUGGAGUGAUCUCAGUAUUUUUCUAGAUGAUCUUGCAAGUGCUCGAUGACAUGUCAUCAACAUCUAUUGCUCCUACUGCAAAACGAUGCCUGUUCCUAUCAGCGCAAUUUUGCACAUUGUGCAGUCAUUUGAAUUUUUUUUACACAUUUUAAAAUGAACUGUAUGAAUUGUCAGGUUGUGCAAAUGUUAUUUGAAUUUUUUCACCCCUAUUUAGCUGUCCCACUAGUUAUAGUUCUGUCUGUACAUGGUUAAAGAAGUUUCUUUUUUACUUGCAUUCUCUGAAAGCAAGUUUUUAUUUUAUAUGCUUAUUAAUUGAUGGAUAACAUUCAAUAAAUUAAUCAUUAAUCACAAUUAUUUAUAUAGCACCCAAACUAUUAAUAAUAUAUAUUAUAUAUAUUAUAAUAUAUUAUUAAUAGUUUGGGUGCUAUAUAAAUAAUUGUGAUUAAUGAUUAAUUUAUUGAAUGUUAUCCAUCAAUUAAUAAGCAUAUAAAAUAAAAACUUGCUUUCAGAGAAUGCAAGUAAAAAAGAAACUUCUUUAACCAUGUACAGACAGAACUAUAACUAGUGGGACAGCUAAAUAGGGGUGAAAAAAUACAAAUAACAUUCGCUAUAUAUAUAUAUAUAUAUAUAUAUAUAUAUAUAUAGCGAGAGAGAGGGAGAGAGAGAAUUCACCCACAAAAACAAAAAUAUAUAACAGUUUGACAUUUUAUUAGUAUUUUAUAUAUAUCACACCAGCUGGUCUAACAAUAAUGGCAUGUAUAUAAUACUAAUAAAAAUUAAAAGCUUGAACAUACUUUACUUUUUGUAUGAGGAUUCUCUUUAUAUUUCCUUUGAUGAGUUUUUCUUUGGUGGUAUUUGUGGAGAGAUACCUACCUGAAUCCUGUACCUACCAAUGUCUGAAAGGAUGAGCAAUAUGGUAUGUUAUUGUGUUUUGGUAUUUCUUGCUAAAUUAAAAGUAUCUCAUGUAUAUUGUGUUUUAAGGUGACCCUUAUUGAAACCCGGUACUGCCUUGAUAAGGGUAAGCAACUCAUAUUCAGUGAGCAGCAGCUUGUGGAUUGCGAUAAAGCAAAUGAUGGUUGCGAUGGUGGACUCCCAAUUAAGGCUCUGGAAUAUGUUUCCAAAAAUGGUAUUAUGAAGAGUAAUGACUACAAAUAUAAAGAAAAGGUAGGAGAUUUAAUUCCUUCAGACAUUCAUGUACAGUUGUUUACAUUGACAUUUUCUCUUGUAUUGCACCAUACAUUGAAGAGCAUUCUGAGAAGUCACUGCACUGUGUCUGAAUGCCCCAAAACCCAACUACUCAUACUGGAGAGGUAGAAUUAGCCAAUAUAGAUUUGUAUGACUGAGCUAGAGAUGCAUGGUUUUAUAUAUAUAUAUAUAUAUAUAUAUAUAUAUAUAUAUAUAUAUAUAUAUAUAUAUAUUGUGUGUGGACACAGGAUUGGGAACAGACACUGAAUACUUGGAGUAGCUACUAGAAUCAUAGAAAUGGGAAUUUUUUGGUAACCCUAGUUUAGAGCAUGAAGUAAUAAGUUUUACGGGAUUGGAAGAUCUCUGCUAUGUAAAAUUUAUCUUAAAGAGGUCAUUUAUAUGGAUCUGGGGCCCUUUGCUCAACCUUGAUACUUCCCACCAUCAUUUGAAUAUGCCAGCUAAAAGGGGCAGAGGUAAUUCAAUGCCCAUGUUUAUGAUUCCAAUUCUUCAUCGUCCAGGAUAAGGGGUCUUAUAAACAAUAACACAGUUUGUUUCUCUACCAUAACUCAGGAGGCAUAGUGUUAGAUUGUAGUCAGGAACUACUCAAGGUAUAUCGUGGGGAGUCUAAGCAUCAAGGGGUUAAAAGUUCAGAACAAGUAGAAUAACUAUGAUUUCCUGUUCUUCCUAUAGAGAAAUACUUUUAUACGUUUGUUUCACUGUUUUUAGUUUAUUUUGCUGUUUAUCUCUUUGUAGCAAGGUAAAUGCUUAUUUAACUCCAACAAUGCAAUAAAGAUGAAAGCAAAGAAAUUCUAUUAUGUGAAUGGAGAAGCAAAUAUGGCAGCAUCAGUGGCAACUACUGGACCUCUCACUGCUGGAAUUGGAGUUAAUGAUGAAUUUAUGCUGUAUGAAAAAGGUAAUUUCUUCUGAAGCAUGUUAAUGAUGCAAUAAUAUAUUUUAUGUCAAAGUAUGUUAUGAGAUGUAUUCUUCAUAUUAAUUAGAACUUCUAGACAGCUGUAUACAAAGAGGAACCAGACUAAAAAUUGUGUUUGAUCCAUUAACUCUAGUGAUGAUAAAAUUUGCAAUGAAAUAAAAAUAAAACGAGAAUAUUAUUAAUCAACUAAUGAAAUGCACUUAACUAUACACAAAACAAUUUGACAGUUCAGCUAGAUCAGUGAUUGAGAUACUACCUAUUGUAAACAUAUAAGAAAUUAAAGUUGCUUUGAGAUUCUGUUCUUGAAUACAAUUUGCUCAAUAUGAGUUUAGGUCUAGUUUUUGAGUCUCCAGGUCCAUGUACACAUGAGUUCUAUCAAACAAAAACACAAUUCUUUCUGAGAAAAUCUAUAUGGUGAACAUACUUGUUAUGGAAAUAGUGUCAGUGAAAAUUGCAAACACAAUUUGCUUAUCUUUCAACUCUAUCAAUUGAUUACAUUUAUUAUAAUUGCUAUUUACCAUAACAUUUUAUUAGGAUUCAGGAUUGUAAAAAUCAAUCCAUUGCUUUCUACUCAAAGUGUAUGUCAUUUCAGAAACCAGUAUUCAGAACAUGUAUUUAUCUGAGCUCUGGAUUGGAAAAUUCUAAAAAUCUAGAGCUCUAAAAAUAAUUUUGACAUACCUUUUCUUAAAUUUUUUAAACAAAUGAGCAACAAAAAAGAGCAGCAUGUACAAUAUACAAUUGGAGAAAAAAUACAGGUGAAUGUUAAAUUAAUAGUGACGUGAUGGACAAGCUACCGCAUUAUCUUCAACACUUGAUGCAAUAUUGUCGUUGAGGGAAAGUGACAACUUAAAUGUAAAAAUAAAAAAGUAUGUAUAUGUAACAUUUUAAAAAAAUUUUAUUCUUUUAUUUAAUUUAGGAAUAUAUGAUGGAACCUGUGCUGAUGGACCAAAUCAUGCAAUUGUCGUUGUGGGUUACGGCCGCAACUACUGGACAGUUAGGAAUAGGUAAAUGAUUAAUUAUCACUUUGAUCUAUGUCUUUUAUUGCAUAUUAACAGACACAAAAAUCACAUUUUCACAGAAUCACAAAAUCCCAAAUGCAUAUAAGUGGCUAAUAUUUGGGUGAUGUAUAACACAUAAUGCACUCUAAGCUAUCUUACCUAAAAUGCUGAGUUAAGUUAUAAAAACUUAAGCGAACAUGAGUGCACAAUUCAAUGCGAUUACUCUCAGUUUCUUUGGAGAAAUAAAAACAAUAGCUCAGCUCGAUAGCUCAGAAGUGCACCACCAUAGUUUAAUUUUUGCCUUGUAGCAGCAAAGUCCCAGGGUUGAUUGUAGUUCCUAAUAAAAUAUUCCAGAUUGUUUAGUUGAUAUUUUUUAAUAUUUUAAUAUAGAUAUUAUUAUUUUAUAUGACAGAAUAUAAGAAUCACGUGGCAAAAUGUAUCAUUGAUGAAUUAUCAGUCAUUAUCUUGUAGUUUGAGAUAUUCAUCUUCUUAUCAGGAAAUCAAUUAUUUAUCAUUGUCCAACUCCAAAACUGUUGUCUAAAUAUUCACCUGCGCAUAUAUUAAAAGUUGGAUAGCUAACAUAAUAUCUUUGCUUGUUAUCCAGGAAAAUAUUAUGCAUAUUCCAUUAAAGACAUGUGUGUGCAUCCUAAGAAAUUAUUCUAUAUUUGCCCCUUGAACUUAGACAGAAAAAUGAUGAGUCAUGAUAUUUACCUCCACUUUAAAAAAAAAAAAAAAAUGUUUGCAGAUUUAUUAAUGUUGGCAUAAACCUUAUUACAGAUAUUAAGAACGAACAUCUGAUAGGUGCUGCUCAGAAAUAAGGAUUAGCAUAGUUGGAACACAUGUUACACUGAGAUAUUAUUGCAUUACAAUCACCAAUUAAAAACUGUAUAUAUUUUUUUCUUUGUAGCUGGGGUGAUGGUUGGGGAGAAGCCGGCUAUGUGAGAAUGAAGAGAAACAUUAACCAGUGCAGUAUAGGCGUCAUGCCAGCGACUAUGGAUUUCACAUUUAAUUAAAGAACGCCUCGAGCAGCAACACAAAAUUCAGUGGUUGACACAGAAGAAUAUCCCUCUCGAUGAAUUGGCUUUUGUUUUAUUAAAAUCUUCACUUGGUGAUUUUGAGAUGGGCUCCACCUACAUAAAACCGAUAAAUGUUAUCAUGGCAUAUCAUUUGUUUUAAUUAAAGAAAAUGCAUCUAACUUGUGUUUUCUAUUGCAUUUUUUACAUAAAGGGGACUUUAUUAUAUUGGAAAGCUAGAAUCAAUAAAAUAAGAUAAGAUGCAAAUUGUAGCUAUAGUUCUUAAGGAACAGCCUAAGAAAGAAAUUACAUAUAAAAAUUCUACAUUUAGUUAUCAACCAAGGUGAUCUAACAGGGUUAUUUACUAAAGUGAGAACUGAAGUUGAUUUCGUGAAUUCAAGGAGAAUUUCAGAUUUAAGGUCAAACUAGCUGAACAUGAAAAAUUCCCUAGGUCAGUUAAGCUUUCAGUUUAGCUACUCUAGUCUUUAAUUUAAAAUUCACUUUUAAUUCUCACUUUUGUAAAUAGCUCUGUAAAUGAUAACUGAUGUGUUGGAUCAGUGAGACUGCUUAAUAACAUAUACAGGUUUAAUUAUACAGAGAUACAUUGACAAUGUUAUAAUUAUUUGGAGAGGGUCUUCUAUUUUGUUUCAGGAUUUUGUUAAUUUUCUAAAAAAUAACUAAUAUAAUCUUAAAUUUACCCCUGUGUGGAGUAAGGAUGAAAUCAAUGUUCUUAAUUUGACUCUUUUCUAUGAAAAUGGAUAAAUAAAAACCAAAUGCUUUUUUAAGCCGACAGAUGGCAAUGGAUAUGUCCAUCGGAAAAGUUGUCACCAUUAACCGUGGCUUAAAGGAACACUAUAGUCACCUAAAUUACUUUAGCUAAAUAAAGCAGUUUUAGUGUAUAGAUCAUUCCCCUGCAAAUUCACUGCUCAAUUCACUGUCAUUUAGGAGUUAAAUCACUUUGUUUCUGUUUAUGCAGCCCUAGCCACACCUCCCCUGGCUAUGUUUGACAGAGCCUGCAUGAAAAAAAAAUGGUUUCACUUUCAAACAGAUGUAAUUUACCUUAAAUAAUUGUAUCUCAAUCUCUAAAUUGAACUUUAAUCACAUACAGGAGGCUCUUGCAGGGUCUAGCAAGCUAUUAACAUAGCAGGGGAUAAGAAAAUCUUAAUUAAACAGAACUUGCAAUAAAGAAAGCCUAAAUAGGGCUCUCUUUACAGGAAGUGUUUAUGGAAGGCUGUGCAAGUCACAUGCAGGGAGGUGUGACUAGGGUUCAUAAACAAAGGGAUUUAACUCCUAAAUGGCAGAGGAUUGAGCAGUGAGGCUGCAGGGGCAUGUUCUAUACACCAAAACUGCUUCAUUAAGCUAAAGUUGUUCAGGUGACUAUAUUGUCCCUUUAAAGGCAUUGCUAAAGGACAAUUUAUGUGCCUAAGGCGCAAUUGUUCCCAUUUUCAGGAUUUUGAGAAUUAAUCUCAACAUAUAAGCAAAUAAGCUCUUGGAGAAGGGAUAUAAAAGUAAUGCCUUAGAGAGAGAAAAUGGUCUCACUUCUAAAAUACAGAGAAAUGCUCUACUGAUUGACAUACCCAAUUUCAAAUCUUCAUAUGGGACCCAGUAUAAUCUGGAUCAUGGAGGAAUAAUAAAUAGCAUACAAAAAACAUUGGUCCAUAUUAUUGCAGGAACCAGUCCUGGGAACUCAUCUACGAGAUCAACCUACACUCAUAUAUAAAAAAAAAAAAAUCGUAAACAUAAAAUAUGUUAGCCCCCAGUUACGCAAUAAAUACCGAUGUUGGGAACAUCAUGGGGCACGCUGGUACUUUUAGAGGAUGCAAGUCUUGUAAAGCUUGCUCCACCAUCUCUCUGGAUAGGACAAACCAAUUUUCUAGCUUUAAAACUGGAGAUGUUUUCAAGAUUAAGUCCGAGGUUGGAUGCCACACAGACUUUGUAGUUUAUUUGCUGCAGUGCCCGUGUGGCAAACAGUACAUCAAACGUACUAAAAGAAUCCUUAAGAUCAGGGUUUUAGAACAUCUAAACAAUAUAAAGAAAGUCCUUAUGACACAUUCGGUCAAAGGGUGACACCGUAUUGGCAUGGUGGUGAUAGGGUAAGAAAAACUUGCCCAACAUACAACCUAUUGGAUUCACAAACUCCAAAUGUUAGAACCAAAGGUACUGAAUUUGGACAUAGAUUUAGUUUGUUUUUUAUGAUUUAGACCAUCUCUCCCAUUUUACAUCUUCCCAUCUUUACUUCUGGUUCAUGUGUAUUUUUUUCUGUGUAUUUUUUCCUGCGUAUUCUCUUCCUCUGUACAUACAUAUGUUCCAUAUAUCCUCUGUAUUAGGGAUACCAGAUAGUUAUUGAUUUAUGAGAGGCUUUACAGUUAUAUAUUAUAGAAGUGGGUAUGUACGGUAACAUCACAUUACCUUAAUUUAUUUCAAUUACUAUUUAGAAUAUAACAAAAAAUUUAAAUAUUACGUAUUUACGGUUUAAUGUACCUACUCACCUUAAUAUAUCCAUUGUUACUCUUAAGAAUCAAUUUUAUGAUUAAAACUGUGGUAGCAAAUGAACAAUAUAGAUAUAAAUAUGUUCCUUUUCACCCUUGAAUUAGGGAUAUCAAAUGUAAUCAGUUGUUAUUUUAGGACAGGUUAUACAGUCAUGCAUUAUAAAAAUAGGUAUGUGUGGUUACACUAUAGUAUAUUAAUUCAUUUCAAUUAUCAUUUAGAACAUAACAAAUAAUAAUUGACACUUAUCAAUCAUUGCACAUAUUCACUUUAAUAUAUGCACUUUAAAUAAUUAAUCCCUGAGUGAAGUUGUCAUAAAAAAGAAAAUUAUAGAUACAACUAACAUCAGAAAAGGAAUUAUUAUCCGUUUUCUUAACUACAUGCUAAGUAUCCAUCACAUGAUAUAAGUUUAUUUCCUUGCACUUUAAUUCAUAUUGACGGCUCUGAUUAAUGAUGAAUUUGUGGUAUUAAUAACCCUCGCUUUAGCUGAUCAAGCUCUUGAUGUUACGUUUUGUUAACAUCACUUUGAAUCUUGUAAUACCUUUGGCGACCACCAAAGGGUCACACACUACUUCUGUGAACUCUAUGGCAUGUAUAUAGCCUUUUUGAUCUCUCUGGCUCACAUCACAGUAAAUGGAAUGCAGAAGUGUUCAAUGGAAUGCACUUCCGUUUCCAGUUUUUGACAGAUGUCUAAUUACCGGCCGAGACACAAGAGAUAAAUCUUGAAGAUCCAUAGGUGAACCAGUGCAAGAAGGGAACCGAUAGGACCACGGAGGAAAAACAACACCCUCGGAACCACCAAUGAACUCAGGAAUUAGUCCUACCUAAAGGGACUCUGGGGUGGGAUUUGGGAAUUGUUAGGCUGUUAUUUUUGUAUAACCAUUUGUUACUUACUUUGAUUUUAUGGACUUUGAGGAAGUUCCAAGUGUGGGACGAAACGUGUAAGACUACAACUACUGCUGUUUUAAUAGCAUUAUCAAUUUUAUUUGAUUUAUAAUAAAAAGCCAUUAUUUCAUACAACCAUCUGGAGUCCUGAUUUCCUGCUACACCUGCAGAUGGAGGAGAGGGAUCCAUAGCCACCCAAUUACAUUGGGGAAGCACCCUUUGAGCGCAUAAUACGUCUACAUCUUGUGAGUGCAUUCUUGUACAGCACACAUUUUUUGUUCAAAUUGUAUCACACUAUGUUUUGUUUAUGUUCCUUUUAGAUUUUAGAGUCGUACCCCAUAUGUAGAGGGUAGUAGAUAGGCGGCGCCAGUAAUAAAGAGCAAAGUAGAUAAAAAUAAUAAUAAUAUAGUCUAAGUGAUUAAAAGUCCAGUAGUAGAGUUCAAGAAUGUCUUUUGGGGGACUGUAUGUAGAAGCAAACGAAAAUUUAGAAUAUGAGAUAACAGCUCCGUAAGUUGAAGAUGUUCUUACACUCUGUAUGUGGAAAUAAAAGAGACAACUAAUGGUGCAGUAUAUUCAACAAUCAGGUGUUAUUCUGGUAAAAGUCUUAUAUGAUCCUAUUCACAUUUUAUAGAGCUAAUGGACUAGCUGUAGUAUGAAGUGCGUACAGUGGUAUAAUCCCCACUUAUAGGAUACAUGAGAUGAUUUCUUGUCUGAGGGAAGGUCAUAUGAAAUAAAAAGGAACAGCCAUAGUGUUCUCUAUUUAAAAUCAGGAAAGCAGAAAAUAAAAUCUAAAGUGGUUACUCACAUUUACACAAACAGGCAGACUGCUCAGUGUAUAGGGCUUGAGUGGUAUAAUCCCCACCUAGGAUUCUUUGGAGUAAUGUCUCACUGGAACACAAUACAACUCAGAAGCCAGCUAAAAUAGGUAAAAAUAAAAUAAAAUAAAAAUAUUUUUUUAAAAAGUAAAAUGGCAACUCACAGUGAGGAAGUGACCAAAAUAACUUUAAUAAAAUACAAUACAGUUUAAAAUGUCCACAACAAGGUUCGCCAUCAGGUUUUUUUCAAGUAGAAAUGCAGAGAACAUAACCUGGCAGGUCUGGGUUUAUAAAGGGAGUGAAACAGCUGGUGUGUUUUAAAAAUAGUGCCAAAAUGACAUCCUAAUUGCUUAAUUGAUGACUGAAGAUAAAGUUAAAAAUCACAUAUAGCUGUAUAGCAAGAAACAGUAAAAUGUAGACAGAACAUAUAAAUAUGUGGUAGUGAAAAAUGAGGGUGACAAAGGAAGUAAGAUUAGACCGAAGUUUCAGUCAUGCGAUCGGCGGACAAUUUUAUUUUUGUUUAAACUUUAUUUGUGUAUUUCUGGCUUCCUUGACCUCGGCUUUCCCUUUGACCAUUCUCUGUCGCUAACGUAUUAGUCCGGCCAUUCUAAGGACCGGUUUACAUUCUGUCCUUUUAUUUCCUUUUCAUUUUCUAUCUAUAUGUUUACAUAGUUUCUGUGUGUUGGACCACACUAACAGUCGUGACAGACACUUCCAUUCAGUCAGCAAAGGGCAUUGUAGAAGUAACAAUAAAUAGUUUGUUUUUCAAUUGCUACCAUCACAAGCCCCUUUCAGGCGCUUUUGGGACCAGGUCCAUAGUCUGUGGGAAAGAGGCUGUCCUUCAAGCUUUUACAAAAGGCCAUUGCAUGGGAUCUUCUGUCACAGUAGAUAUUACUAGGCAAAGGCAAAAAAAGAGCACAUCAUUCAGAUAGUAGUGACAGAAUAUCAGGAUAAAUCAAAGAAAUUAUGGCAACUACUAAAUUAUAGGUAGCAAAGUUAGGCUAACAACGUCAGGACAUACAUUCAAAGAUUAAAAUACUGUAGAAUCAAAAUGAUUAGAAGCAGAAUAGUCGAAGAUAUUCAGUUGUCCUUAUAAGAACAAACAACCACAUGCGUAUGCUGACCUUAUCUUCAGAUAGUGUUGAAGGACUUACAGCAGAGCAUAUGGUGAUGAUAAGAUCCAUGUGCAGCUUGUUUAAUCUGCAAAGCUAUCAACCCCAGUCGAAGCAUAUAAUUCACAAAUAUUUACAUCAAUGCAAUGUCAGGAAUGAUUAUCACUAAUACGGAUCUAGGUACAGAGACCAUUAAAAACAUAUCAGCCAAUUGUUUGUCAUAAACAUGCUACAAUAUUACUUUUAAUUGAUGACUCUACAUCUUAAAACCACACAUUGGCUGUAAAGCUCAGAUAGUGAGACACCCAGAAGAAUCCCCUUGAACAUCAGAACAGAGAUCAGUAAUGGGACGUAAUGUUCAGGUAUUUCCCUUAUUGUUUUGGUAGCAAGAAUAAUUCACCUGAAAUAUUAAAACUGUUACAAUAGUCUGAGGAGUGAAAAGUGGCAAUUAAAACACUUGCGAUACCCAGUAUCCAUAAUACAUGGAGAAUAUGAGACUAAGAAAAUAGAUGUUAUUGCAGAAAAUAAAUUAUAAUGUUCCCCCUGAGAACUUCACAACAGGCUACUCUUAAGAAUCAAAAGCAUGCCACCCCUGACAUGCAUUAAAAAAAUUGUCUAACUCAAGGCCACCAAGAUAUCAAAUAGCAGAAUACUGAACAUAACAAAUAGCACAUUCUCUGAAUUAUACAUAUUAUGCAUUAAGGAAAUUCACUCCAUUCUAAACCAACUGCAGGGCAUUGAGCUAAAAUCUGAAUAAAAAUUAUAAGCCAGACUAGUAGUAUUGCGUUUGAGAGUAGAAUCCUACAGAAAUUAAAAAUGAUUACUUAAGUUGUGACUUGGUAAUACAGAAUAAUAUUCAUAGCUUUUAAAUCAAAGUCAAAUUAUAUUUGAGAAAGUAAAGCAAUGAAACGGGUCAGUUGAUUGCUUCAGAGAGCUACCUGCUCAUGGGAGCAAUAGAUAGCCACAGCUUAGCACCUGCAAUCAGCAAGAUCUACUAAAUUGUGCACCUGCAAUUAGCAAGAUCUAUUAAGCUGUGCACCUGCAAUCAGCAAUACCUACUAAGCUGUGCACCUGCAAUCAGCAGUAUCUACUAAGGUUAAACACUACCUCUAAACGUAAAAACAUUCUUUACCUUGAUUGAUGAGGAGAUGGUACCUGGCAAUAAAAAAUACUUUUGUAGCAACUUCUCUCACGUAUAUGCAUAGGUGUGCACACAUAAAGGGCCAUUAAUUGAUAUUGAACAUCACCAGCCUCAAUUUUGGAAAUCAGGUCCCCUUCUCUCCAGAUGGAGGGGUGCACAGACAGGAUCAGUAACACAUGCAGUCCAUCUAAAGUGUUUAAUUGCUAAUACUUAAACACCUGUGUGGGAGAACUCUAAUGCAAAUGUAAAAUGCAGUGUGUUUCUCUUAUCCUCUUCAUUCUCUUAUCCUCUUCAUCGUCAAACACAAAGAUUAUAUUGGACUCAUACAUAGAGAUUGUGUCUUUUAUUUCAUUCACAUAUACUGUCUCGCAGCAACUGCCCACCAAAACUUUACCCAGAGUGCUCUUGGGGUAAUAGGGGAUAGGGUGACUUUGGACUUUGAGGAGCUACAAAGAUUCAUGGAAAGCGCUGUGGUUUUGGGUGACUGGGAUUUUCUACCCAGCACCAUGGAACUCUGCGAAAAGAUUGGAGGCUAGAUGAAACCUGCUGAAAUGUUCACUUCCACCUAAAUCUGGCUAGCAACCUCCGAUCUGAGCACCUUUUGGACAAAGUAGGUGCUCUGAAACAAGCUUCCUGGGGACAGCAGUUGUGUGGAGAUGUGGGGACGAAAACCAUAAUUAUUGUAUUUUUUAUUAUCCCAGUGCAAAGGUGUCUGGCUGAUCAUUAAAUUAUCUACUCAGGCACAGACACCAAGGCUCUGGGAAUGUUGUAAUUCUUUUAUUCUCUCAGGGGAGUUCCUGUUGAGACCCAAGGUAAAAAAAUGUGACAAUAAACUAGUUCUAUUUCACCCUACACUAGGUUAGCUAGUGCUUGCGGUGGAUCUGCUGUAGAGCUAUAAUCGCUGAAGAUAUUCUGAUAGCCAUAAACAUUAAUGAAAGGAAAUCCUUUGCGGUGCUAUCCUGGUGGUCCAUCUUGCAUUUUAACUAAAACAUAGAGCACGUAGAAACAUAGAAACAUAGAAACAUAGAAUGUGACGGCAGAUAAGAACCAUUCGGCCCAUCUAGUCUGCCCAAUUUUACUUUCAUUAGUCUCUAGCCUUAUCUUAUAGUUAGGAUAGCCUUAUGCCUAUCCCACGCAUGCUUAAACUCCUUUACUGUGUUAACCUCUACCACUUCAGCUGGAAGGCUAUUCCAUGCAUCCACUACCCUCUCAGUAAAGUAAUACUUCCUGAUAUUAUUUUUAAACCUUUGUCCCUCUAAUUUAAGACUAUGUCCUCUUGUUGUGGUAGUUUUUCUUCUUUUAAAUAUAGUCUCCUCCUUUACUGUGUUGAUUCCCUUUAUAUAUUUAAAUGUUUCUAUCAUAUCCCCCCUGUCUCGUCUUUCCUCCAAGCUAUACAUGUUAAGAUCCUUUAACCUUUCCUGGUAAGUUUUAUCCCGCAAUCCAUGAACCAGUUUAGUAGCCCUUCUCUGAACCCUCUCUAAGGUAUCAAUAUCCUUCUGAAGAUACGGUCUCCAGUACUGUGUACAAUACUCCAAGUGAGGUCUCACCAGUGUUCUGUACAAUGGCAUGAGCACUUCCCUCUUUCUACUGCUAAUACCUCUCCCUAUACAACCAAGCAUUCUGCUAGCAUUUCCUGCUGCUCUAGUGGACACAUGCUUCAACACCCUCAUAAGCACACUGUCCCGCCAACUCAAAUGCCUAUCUCACACUUUUAAUGCUCUAAUUUGCCCUGUUGCUCCCCCUCCUGCUACCACCCUGUCUGCCUCAAACUUUGCAACUCACUUCACUGAGAAGAUUUCUACAAUCAUGGAAGAGAUCUCUAACCACUCUCCCUUUAAACUUAUGGAGAGCGAAAAAACAGGGUGCAAGAGUAUUCUGAGAACGAGCAGGGGAGAUUUGAGUGGGGACCCACAGAAGGGCAGGCUAGUUCUGCUGCUGCUCGUUCUCAGAAUACUCUUGCACCCUGUUUUUUUGCUCUCCAUAAGUUUAAAGGGUAAUCCAGACUUGGACCCCUUGCUCUGGGUGCCUAGAGAGAUAUCAGCUAUGCCUCACUGAUGAUGCCUAACAAGGCUGAAACAAUCGUCUGGGGUUGCUCUGCCUCUCGUGCAGAGGGAACUUGCUGGCAUUUCAAAUUUGGACUGCCCGUAUGGGUGGGACCAGUCUGAUAUGUUUCAGAGAUGUUCUCUCUGUAAUGGCACAAGAUGAGUUAAAACUAGCUUGAGAUCUGAGCGGGGACCCACCGAAGGGCAGACUAUUUAAGCUGUUGCUCGUUCUCAGAAUACUCUUGCGCCCUGUUUUUUUGCUCCUCAUACAUGAAAAAAUAACCCUUCUUUCACUUUAUUCAUUUUAGGACCUCCCUUAACUUGGCAAAAAUACAAGGUCAUAACUAAAACGUAAGGGGGUGCAUACAUCAUGGAAAAUUCCCUUACUUAGAUCAAGGUGGCAUCUGAACAGCUUUAUGUAUUUAGGGUUACCUCAGUAUAUUAUGUACUGAAAGAGUCGUAGCGUUGCCUUGAAGCUUGUUUAUGCAUUAUUGUUAUUGUAUUUCGUCUGGGACAAAAUGGCGUAAACAUAUCAUGCACUGAAAGUAGGUAAAUGGUUAUUGCUUAGAGAAACAUGUAUGAAAAACAAUAUGUUUCAUUUCCAACACUUUGUCAGUUUUCAAUAUCUCUUAAAGACAAAGUACACAGUUUGAGAAAUACAAUAUUUGCAUUUUCCCAUAUCACCCUUCCAAUACAUCACCCAACCCCACUCACUCCACUGUUCUAUGCUCUUUCGCACCUACUACAAUGGAAGAGGUUUCUGCUCUGCUCCGGUCCUCCCUCCCUGCCACCUAUUCCCUUGAUCCUUUUCCCUCGUAUUUCAUCCGCACCCUAUCUCCCUCUCUUGCUCUUCUUCUCACUAAAAUUUCCAAUCUCUCCCUUUCCUCUGGCACAUUUCCUUCACCCUUCAAGCAUGCAACCAUAAUGUCAAUUCUGAAAAAGCCCAACAUUGAUCCCCAAUUCCCCAUCCAACUACCGCCCUAUAUCACUACUGCCGUUUGCUUCCAAGAUCCUUGAGAGAGUUGUGUAAGAUUGACAGACUAUCUCAAAUUCAUCUCUCUGCUUGACCAACUUCAGAAUGGAUUCUGUGCUCUUCACUCUGUUGAAACAGCUGUGUGUAGCAGAAUGGGCUUUGCAACAGAACCUCUCUUUGUACUAGGGGCUGUCCAUACCCUCUUUUCUGUGAUUUCUACUUUUCGUUACUUGGGGAAACAAGUAAGAAACUAUUACAUUUAAUUUUUUCGUCUGGUUGUUCAGUAACAGCCCUCUUUCAGCUGACUUUCCAUAUAUAGCUCGACAAACGAACUAAGUACCGAACAACUAGGCCACCCAUGAGAGGAGCGUGGCGCCAAUUGACCUUCCUAACCUUGUUCACACUUGCUUAACCACAAACACACAAACCAACUGGGUGAUCCCCUGGGCGGCCAUCUUUGAAUACGAACUGUACCAGCGGGGUUUGGUUGUCGAGUGUCUGGAACCCAAAUCAACGGACACUUAAUGGCACAAACACUUCAGAGACUUCCAGCUUCGUGUAAGUUUGUGUAAACUCAGGAAAACAGAGUGGCAUUCGGUGAAAGGAAUCACACGAAUGAGAUUAUUUCAACUAACCAAGGCACGAACCAUGUUCAUAUACAAUUUCAUGUAUUUCAGACUCUCGAACGUAGACCGACCGCACAGCCCAAACACAUGGAACUAUUUUCGGCUUACACCUUGUGUGCGGUCGGUAAAGACCUACAUAGAAUUGUCGAACCCCUGAACCAAUCUGGGUAAUUUUUCAGUAUGUAGCUCUCCAGAUUGGGGCUAUCAGGGUCUGAAUUGUGGGAGUAGGAUAGGUUUUUGGGGUACUUCUGGAAAUGUAUAAAAAAAAAAAAAAUUUGUGUGGAUGAUAAUUGAGUUGAUAUAGUAAUUAACUCAAUUAUCGCCUAAGCAGAGGGGAGGGAUUGUGUGGAAUGUAUGGGAGUAACUCAUUACCUGACUCUGUGUUUAUUGGUUUUGUACUGGACCUGUGUCCAACAAGGUCCACCUGGGUGGUAACCUUGUGGGAAAAACAAGCAUAAAAGGCCAGCAUGGCCAUUAAAGGAUCAGUUCUGCUCCUAAUAAUGAGUGUCAUCCAGUUAUUGGAAAGGGUGAAGGGAUAUUUGUGGAUGAUUUUAUGCUUAUGUCUGCUUUCUUGAAGUAUCCUGUUUGUUCCUGAGUAGCUGUUGAAGUAACCAGCAGAGAAGAAACCCUGCUAUAACUAGCUAAAUCUUGAGGCAAUUACGCUACCCUAUUUCUCCUUUAUCUUUCUGCUGCCUUUGACACUGUUGAUCAUCAACAGCUACUUCUCAUUCUCUGUAAUCUCAGUCUACAAGAUACUGCUCUCUCCUGGUGCUCCUCCUACUUUUCGUGGCGCUUUUUCAGUAUUUCUUUCUCUGGCUCUGCCUCUUCUCCCCAACCCCUCUCUGUUGGCAUUCCUAAGGUUCUGUCCUUGAUCCCCUACUGUUCUCCAUCUAUACUGCCUCCCUUGAAAAACUCAUCAGCUCCUUUGGCUUUCAUUAUCAUUUAUAUGCAGAUGACAUGCAAAUGUACCUGUCCUCUCCUCAUCUCUUAUUUCUCCGCCCAUCUUGACUCAUGUCUCUGACUGCCUCUCUGUGAUUUCUAACUGGAUGGCUGCUCACUUCCUUAAACUCAACCUGUCCAAAACAGAACCUCUGGUCUUUCCUCCCUCAAGUGUUGCUACUCCUGUGUAUGUCUCACUCAAAGUCAACGGCGCCACCAUCACACCCCCCCUCGCAGACUCGCUGCCUAGGUGUUCUCUUUGACUCUGACCUCUCCUUCACCCCUCAUGUCUAGUUGAUCACCAAAUCCUGCCGCUUCCAUCUCAAAAACAUUGCAUCUUCCCCUAUUUAACAACUGAUACGACUAAGGUGCUGGUCCAUGCUGUUGUUCUUUCUCUCCUUUCUCUCCUUUCUCUCCUUGACUACUGCAAUCCCCUUCUCAGUAAACUUACAUGUUUAUAGAUUGCACCACUGCAAUCUAUAAUGAAUGCGACAGCGAGGCUCAUUUUCCUGUCUGCCUGCACCUCCCACUCCUUUGUCAUUCCCUACAUUGGAUUCCAGUUAGAUAUAGGGCUCAAUUUAACAUUCUGGUGCUUACUUACAAGUCCCUACAUAAUGCUGCUCCGACCUACUUAUCCUCCCUAAUACACAAGUAUGUCUCAUUGAGGCCCCUGUGCUCUGCUGGAGACCUACGUCUAUCCUCUGUCUGUACUCCCACAUCUGAUGCUCGCCUCUAAGACUUAUCCAGGGCUGCACCUUUUCUGUGGAACUCCCUUCCCUUCUCUGAUAGACUUUCACCCAGUCUCCACUCCUUCAAAAAAAUCUUUGAAAACACACUUCUUCAGGAAAGCAUAUCAUUUAAACUGUUAGCAGGUUUUCAUCCCCCCAUGACUCUUCUCCUGCAACUGUCAAAAAUAUUAUAAGUUCUCAGUGAAUACUUUUUUGCAACCUAUUUCAUUACCCCUACUUAUACCUUUUGUGUCAUUAUACCCCAUUCCCUCUAGAAUGUAAGCUCAUUGAGCAGGGCUCUCAACCUUUCUGUUCCUGGGCGUUCAUUUUUCUCGUUACAAUUACGUGUCAGUUAGUCCACCCAUUGUACAGCGCUAUGGAAUUUGCUGGUGCUAUAUACAUAAUAAAAUAAUAAUAAUAAUAUGCUGAAGCGGUGUCUUCACAUCAUCUUAUAUAUAGCGCGUAUAGAAGACACAUACUGAGGCUGUGUCUUCACACUAGCUCAUACAUAGAGCAUAUGAUGGAUACAUAUACUGAAGCUGUGUCUACAGACCAACUCAUACAAAGAGUACAUAAUGGAUACAUAUAUUGAUGCUGUGUCCUCACAUCAACUCAUACAUAGUGCAUAUUGUGAACACACUCCAACUCAUACAUAGAGUAUAUCGUGGACAUACAUAAUGAGGCUAUGUUUUCAGACCAACUAAUAUAUAGAGCAUAUACUGGAUACAUAUACUGAAACUGAGUCUUCAGACCAAUUCAUACAUAAAGCAUAUAGUGGAUACAUAUAUUGAGGUUAUGUCCGCAGAGUAAUUCAUACAUAGAACAUAUACUGGACGCAUACUGAUGCUGUGCUUAAGAUCAGCUCAUGUACCGAGAUAAUAUCAGUCAAAUAUACUGAGGCUAUGUGAUAUCCAAAUCUAUAGAAGAUCUUCAACAGUUCAUACUGAGAGGAUAUCUUGGUCUCAUAUGCUGAUUUAGAUAAUCAGAAAUAUCCCAAAAAUAUUUUACCUUCCACAAUCUGAAAAAGCCUGCUUAUGUGCCACAAUGCACAGACAACAACAAUCAUUGCCACAUGCCGUAAUAGGAACAAGUGUCUGAGUGGACUUAGCAUCAGACUUUAUACCUCAUGUCAUGUACAAGUCUGUAGAUCAGUUAUUUACCCAGGGAUACUUUUUCUUAACAUGGAUAUUUGCCUUUCUUCACACUUUGGUAUUCAGGUAGACUUUAUACAGCCAGGAUAUCCAUUAGUAGCACUCUUUUUUUUAAAUGCAUCAUUGCAUGUAUAAACUUACCUAAAUGCUUACCUCACAGACCUCCUUAAUGUAUUUGUUAAUAUUUGUUAGUAGGAAACCCAAAAAUAAGCAACUGGGAGGAACUGAAAGAACAUAAAUUUAGGUACUUAUACUAGUUUAUAAUUUAAAUACCAAUGUACUUACCUGAGGUGGGAAAAUAUACUAAACAGCCACAGUGGUGUAGUUUGGUUUUGUACUGCCUUAGGCUUGACAAAUCUCAGGCACCCCCAUCUAAAUUUCUGUUCCUUUUAAAAAACAACACACUCUUUGCCUGCCGGUCACAUGCCUUCACAGAUGCAUACACUGACAUACACUCACUGACAGAUGCACAGUCAUUGGCACACGCACUGUUUAACCAACACACACUUUCACAGAAACACACCAACAUGACAGACAUACACAUUCACUAACAGACAUGCACAUUUACUGACAGACACAAAUACAGACUCACUGGCAGGCACACUUUCGGUUACAGACACAGACACUGACAGACACGCAUACACAAUCACUCACAAACACACAUACACACUCACUGAAAAACACAUAUACAGUCUCCCUGACAAACACACAUACACUCUCACUGACAAACACAUAUACACUCUCAUUGACAAACACACAAACUCUUUGACAGACACACAUACAAACUCACUAACAGACACACGCACUCUGAUACACUCACAAUUUAAAAAAAGCAUUUUUUAUUUCAAUCCACUCAUCCUUCCUACCUUUGGGAGUACUGGAGUGGAAUCUCUAUUUCCCAGGGGUCCAGUGGGGAUUCUUUCACUGCUGGGUAGGUAGUUAAUGCAGGUGGCAAGGUAGCUCAGAUCUUCCUGCUCAGCUCCCUCGCGCACCUCUUAGUGAAGCCAGGGCUCGAGUGAUGUCAUAUCCUGACUUCGGCAUCACUGCGGCGCGUGCUACGGAGCUGAGCAGGAAGUGCUCAGGGCACAGCACUCCCUCGCCCUCAAUGUGAACAGAUGGACAAGAGGCUGACAAGACUUCUGCCAGGGAACUUGGGGGCAGCCCCCCUUAAAGUGCCGACCAAGGCAAAUGCCUUGUGAGCCUUGCGCUAAAUACAGCGCUGAAUAGCCAUAGAGACAGAUAAACAGCUGCAGGCUUGUAUUUAAGCAGCACAUGGGGAUUUGAACAACUGACAGCCUAAACUGUUUAAACUGUAGGCUUCCAUCUGCACCCCAUAUGCCAUUGGUCAUCACAUACGUAAAAGGGGCAUACCCAUGAAUUAAUCAUAUGCAAGAGCUGUUUACUGAAUCUUGAGGGAUGGAGGCCUAGACUUUUAAUACUGUAUGCAUAUUCUAAUAAUGUUGUAUUAUGUGACAAAUAGAACUGUAAUAUAUAUUUAUUUGUUUUAAAAUAUUGAAAUAUCAUUCAGAAUGAAUUAUUCUCUUUAUCCUAUCUAUUUGCAUAUGUACUAGGGUUGGGCUCUUUUUAUUAACUCCUAAUCAUAUUCUUGUACACAUUGUUCAUUUAUUUAUACAUUGAAGUUUUGUAAUAUAGGCCAUAUUUCAUUCUUUUAUUUUUACAUUAAACGUAUGCCAUUUGAAUAUACUACUCUACUAUCCCAUAAACAAACUCAUACUCUGGAUAUAUUUUUUCUGUGCAAUGGAUUACAAAUGUGUGUAUGUGUUUUUACACGUUUCUUUAUGUGGGAUAUGAUGUUUAAGAUAUUUUAUUAUAAUUUCUGGCAAUUAUAUAGCGCCAACAUAUUCCACAGCUCUUUACAAUAUUAUAAAAAUGAACAUUUAACAAUAAACAAGACAAAUACAAAGUGUUACAGGAACAAUAGGUUGAUGAGGAUACAGAUCAAACAAGCUUAUAGUGUAAAAGAGAAACAUAGAAUGUGACGGCAGAUAAGAACCAUUCGGCCCAUCUAGUCUGCCCAAGUUUCAAAAUAUUUCCUUAGUCCCUGGCCUUAUCUUAAAUCUAGGAUAGCCUCAUGCCUAUCCCACUCAAGAAGUAGGGUAUAAAACUCAUUAGGAAAGGCAUUGAGGGGGAAAGCAAACAAACAAGAUGGGAGUGAAGCAGAACUGAAGGACAGAGUGGAGUGCAGCCCUUUAGGAGAGAGCAAGUGGCAGAUAUGUGAGAUAAAGGUUACUCAGGCCAUUAGUUUUAAAGCGGCAAUGUCAUGGCCGAAUCCAGUUGUUUUUUUAACCCCCCUUCCUGACUCCACUACAUCUAAUUGUCCCCCUAUCACCCACAAAUACCCCUAAGCCCCCCAUAUUACCUAUUCUUUAACCCCUUAAGGACCAAACUUCUGGAAUAAAAGGGAAUCAAUGUCACACAUGUCUUGUGUCCUUAAGGGGUUAAUAUUUAUUUUAUGCCCAGACCUAGGUCUUGGGCACCGCCAUCUUUCUGUGGUUAGAUGAAGUCCUUGUGGGACACAUCAUCUGCCCACAGUAGAUAGCGCUGUGAAAUUCUUGUGCAUGCCCAGUUAAACACUUGGGCAUUCGAACAGGAAUUUCAUCUAUUCACUCAUUCGUCAGAAAGAUGAAAAAAUAAAUAGAAAUUUCAAAUGAAUUAAUGAAGAUCUCUUUAUUUGUUCAUUUGGUUUAUUACAAGGAGGGACCUACCGGCACGCAGCUCCAUCCUUGUAAGCCCCCAUGCCCCCCCUUACUCUAUUGGGGUCAAUAUGACCCCUAUAUUAGCAUAAGGGAGAUUAAAAUCUCCAGAAUGCCCAUACUCACUAUGCCGCGAGUAGGGGCAUGUCUACUGAACAGUGAGCAGAUAGUGGCUGCUCACUGUUGUAAACCCCCCUUUCUAAAUGAUGGCCCUAUAAAAAAACAAUAAUGUCCUGCCCCCACCCCUGAGCUGUGGGUAGGGGCCCUAAAUGAAAAGGGGGGGACCUAUUAUCCUCCACCCAGCCCCCACCAAUGAGCAUCGGGUUGGGACCCUAAAUGAAAAUGGGGAGGAGCUAUUGUCCUUUCCCCAACUGGCCCCCACUCAUGUGAGACAGGUGGAGGCUAAAUGUAGUCACCCCCCACCCCAAAAAAAAUUAAAGUACUACCUACCCCCCUCAUCCUAAAAUAGUGAAGGGGGAGACCAUAAAUUUAAAUUCAUGUAAAAAAUAAAAUAAGUAAGCCUAUGACCCUCCCGUGAGGCACUAAUAGACAAAAGGAACCGGCCCUUGCUAAAGCCUGGACUUGUGAGAUAUGGGGCCGCAGAACUAUGGACUGUGUCCUGCCUACCAACUCACCACUCAGACGCCCUUCCUGCUGGCAAAGAGAGAAUGAGGAGGAAGUAUAUCUGGCAAAGAAGCUGCCUUACCGCUGUGGCCUGCUUGCAGUGGCAGAUGACUAAUAUUGGCUAAUAUUUGAAGCUCUUUCAAUAACCAUUGCAACUAUUUCACCUCUUUAUUGUUAGCUUGCUAUCCAUUAUGCCAUGACCUAUUUUCACUAAUUUAGUUAAAAUGCUUUAAUUGGGCCCCUGUAAUAGUUAACCUUAUCCACCCAGUGGUAUCUAACUCUUGUAGACAGUCACAAUUCUAUUUUACAUCAUUUGGCCUUUGAUAUUGCUCCCUAUGAAAGAAUUGUGUUUUUGCUGUUUUCCCUCAUUUCCCACUAAAAGUGCAGUGUUCCUAACAUUUCAUGUUACAUCUACUACUCUUCGUUAUUAUAUAUAUAUUAUGAAAAUGUAAAUGCUAUCCUGACUGAUACGCUAAGCACUGCAAAAGUAAAUAAUGUAAAAAAAAAUAAAAAAAUAUACCUAAAAUGUUUUGCACACAGUUCCAUCUAGAUAUUCAACAUUUUGUAAUUUCUCAAGCAGCAUUUUCCAUUUUUUUCUCUGUCUCUUGCAUGUGUAAAAUGCUUAAGGGACAUUAGUAGUGUUAGUUUAUCCUAUUGCCAUAUGUCAAUAUAUUUUAAACAUAUCAUUGUUUGCAUGUGGAACUUCAGAUUUAUGUUUUACCCUCUCUCCUUUCUUAUUAUUAAGUUAUGAUGUCAACAUAAUAAAAUACCACAAAAAGAUACCACAUAUUUCCUCUUUUGUUGUGAUUUUCUUUCUCAAAUGUUAUAUCAAAUCAAUCUUAAAUCUUAUCAGUUCUGUGAUAGGUCAAACUGUUUUCACAUAUCUUAUUCUUAGCAUGACUUGCCGCAAGUAAGAAUUCUAUUGGUGGGGAGAAUUAUAUAUAAAGACCAAUAUUUUGAAAGCUCUUCAUUCACCAAGACCUGAAGGAGCUCCUGGUCUUGGGAUCACAUCAGGCAGGUACGUUACCAGCUUUAUUACAGUGUACAUGCUAUUUCAAACAUAGAAUGUACAUACAGCAUAUUAACUUAGGAAAAAACUAUUGUGUGUGGUUAAACAGUUUAUAAACCUAUAUCUUGCCUCCUUUAUGAUAAGAAACUGAUUACACUUUUAGUUUUCAUAUUUCAAAAUAAAUAUUUGAUAUAACUGGAGUAUUUAAACUAAAGACGUACUAUUGGUUUACUUUAGGAUGAAGUUCAAUAAACAUCUGUUCCUCUUCUCAACAAUUGUUGUCUGCGCUUCGGCUGCACAUUUCCUUGAACAAGAAUGGAACCUGUGGAAAUCUAAGUAUGGUAUGUAAUUAUACAGAUACACACAUGUAUGAUUUAUGCUAAUUAGUUACAUGUACUUAUUUGCAUAAGUAUGAUUUGUUAGUGAUAUGUUUAUUAAUUCUGUGUUGGUUUCCAUAAUGUGCGUCAAAUAAGUGGAUUACCCCAGAAUUGAAAAAACAGUUUUUGCCUUAAUAUAUACUUUACUUUAUUUAUUCAUUAAAUACAUGAAUUAAAUUUUUAAAAUAUAAUAGCCCUAAAGAUUGCCAAAAACUGUGUUACUUGACAAAAAAAACACACAAAAAAAACCAGACUAAUAAAUUAACAGUGGUUUGAUUGAUGUGUAACGUCCAUUAAAAUGUGAGAAUGCUCACCAAUAAAACCUGAAGUCCGAAUUUUUUUAUCCCAUAACUAUGGCUUGUAGUAAUUUGCUGAAUUUAAAGGACAAAAUACAUUAAAUGAAAAGAGUUACUGUUUUAAAUUGUUUUUAAUUGCCUUUCCUUUUUUAAUAUAUUUAAUUUUACUGGGGAUUUAUUUUUCCAUCAGUAAUUAUCCUGAUAAAGGAAUAUAGGAAUUGCAUACCCUAGAACAAAAUGCUAAAUGAGCAAGAAUUUGUUGAUAAACAAACAACUUCUUUUAGCACAAAGAAAAUUAAAAAUCUGUAAUGUGAAUUUAUUUUUGUAUUCAGUUCAUUCAAUUAAACCAUCUUAUUGCAAACAGCUAUUAAUUAAUUCAUAGAGAUUUUUAAUUAGGGCUUUGAGUAGAAUAAAAUAUUAGUAAUAUUAGUCUAAAAGAGUUGAGCAAAUAUCCAUCAAUGCAAGCAACACAACAUAAUAUAAUGUGCAGUUUUUGUCCAAAUGUUGUAAAUUAAAUUGUUUCAAUGGUUAAAUUCCAUGGCAGGAAAACAAUAUGACACAGAAGAAAUUGAGUUGAAUCGCCAAGGAGCAUGGUUAGCCACGAGGGAUCUGGUGCACCAACACAACCAGCUGGCAGAACUAGGUCUUAAAAACUACACUUUGGCAAUGAAUCAGUUUGCAGACCUGGUAAGUUUUAUGAAAUCAUUCUAGAGGUAUAUUUUCUAUUUAAUUAAAAUUAGAUUGUUUUCUGUUUUAUACCAUAUUAUAUAAAAAUCUAACCUCAUAUCUGUACCCUGAUAACAUGGUGUAAUGAGGUCCUCCCUUUCCAUUGCUGUGCAUUUUUUUUAUUAUAGUUGCAGUAAUUAUCAUCCAUGAAAACAUGAAUGUAGCUACUUUGUAAUAAGGAAAAUCUGUGCACGAGAAACAUUUUCUCUGUUAUUUUUUUUGCAUCUUUCAAUCAUGCAUUAAUUUGCUUAAUCAACCAAGAUGGCCUUAUCACUUUAAGAUAUAUAAUUUCAGGAAAAUAUUUUAUUUGUUUGAAAUACAUGUCAAAAAGGUUAAGAAAUUAACAACAGAAUCAAUUUGUCUACUAUGUUAGUAAUGUGUUUCUUAUAUGUAGACAAGGCUGCACUUGCAAAGUUAUGAUAAUACACACAAGUAAUAGUAGUACUAAUGUUAACUAUAGAAAAAAAAUCACAUACAUCAAGAGCAAUUAAUGAAUUAUAAAAGAUAGACCACUGGAAAUGCAGGAGGGCUAGUAUAUAUUUAAUCACAUAGUUUUUAUCAGAUUUUUUUUAUACUGCAUACAAUUUUUUUUUUAUAUAUUUGGAAUAUUAUACAAUAACUAAAUUAAAUGAAAAUAAUUUGUUGACUUCCAUAAUAUUGCAUUUAGUGAAUGGAAUUAAGUGAUUAAAAUUUAUUUUUUAAUAAUUAUGGUUAUCAUGUUUCAGACCCCAGAAGAACGGGCUUCCCACAUCAGCCUUGGCUUGAAAAGACAUUUGACAAUUUCACACCAUGCCCAUAUUCGCCAUGGAAAUCUGCCUGUUAUUCCUGAUGAAUAUGACUGGAGAAAUUCAAAAUGUGUGACUCCUGUUAAAAGUCAAGGAGAAUGUGGCUCAUGCUGGGCAUUUGCAACAGUAAGAACUCUUUAUUAGCUAAUAAGAAUACUACUAAUAUCUUAAUUUCUGGCAACCUGACACUAUUAGAGUCUUUAUAUCUUUAGCUAAGAAAUGUCCUUUUACAAUGUAGUGCCUGGGGCAAAAAAAAUUAAAUGUUCCUGUAGGUAAAUGUUCCUGAACUUACUCCUUUGAGCUGCCAUCUUGUUCUUAAUUUAGAUCUUCUUCUGCAAGGACUUACAUCCCUAUUGUACUUGAACACAAAUAGAGUACAAAAUGGUGGCCUGUGGAGAGAUCACAGUAUUUUUAAAGAUGACCUUGGGCAUUCUCAAUGAGAUGUCAUCGACAGAGUGUGAGCCUCACUCUGUGAUUUUCACACAAGAUAUUUACGACUCUCUGCGAGAAUAGUGUCUAUUUUCUAUCAAACCUGUAUCUUUUCUGCACUCAUGUCGCUAUGACCCCUGUAUCACAACUCAACUUUUAAUUCUAUAUGUCGUCUUGCUCAGAAAUGCUUUAGACUUGAGAAAGGGAGGUUCUCCUGAAAGCUUGUCAUUAAAAAAAUCUGUUAGUCCAAUAAAAAAGGUAUUACAUGAUAGGAAUGUUAUCUUGUUUUUUACAUAUAUAUAUAUAUAUAUAUAUAUAAAGAGAGAGAGAAUCCACCCCCCAAAAAACUAAAAUAUAUAACAAUUUGCUAUUUUAUUAGUAUUUUUAUAUAACAGACCAACAGCAACAAUAAUGGCAUAUAUAAAAUACUAAUGCAAAUUACAAGUUGUAAUAUACUUUACUUUUUGUACAAGGAUGGUCUUUGUAUUUUUUUUUUUUGGGGUGAGUUUUUCUUUGGUGGUAUUUUGGGAGACAAACCUACCUGAUUCCUGUACCUACCAAUUUCUGUUAGUGCAUUUGGUUUGUUAUUGUGUUUUGGUAUUUCUUGGUAAAUUAAAAGGAUGGUAUGUAAAUUGUGUUUUAAGGUGAGCCUUAUUGAAACCCGUUACUGCCUUGAUAAGGGUAAGCAACUCAUAUUCAGUGAGCAGCAGCUUGUGGAUUGCGAUAAAGCAAAUGAUGGUUGCGAUGGUGGACUCCCAGUUAAGGCUCUGGAAUAUGUUUCCAAAAAUGGUAUUAUGAAGAGUGACGACUACAAGUAUAAAGAAAAGGUAGGAGAUUUCAUCCCUUGAGACGAUCAUGUACAGUCCUUUACAUUUAGAUUUUCUCUUGUAUUGUACUAUACAUUGAAGAUAAUUCUGUGACUGAAUGCCACAAAACCUGACCACACAAAAUCAGCCAUUGAUAUAUAGAUUUGUAUGACUGAGCUAGGGGUGCAUGGUUAUAUAUAUUGUGUGUGGACACAGGAUUUGGACCAGACACUGAAUACAAGGAUUAGCUGCUAGAACCAUAUAAUUUGGAAUUAGUUUAGAGCACAAAGUAAUUGUGUUUAGAGGAUUGGAGGAUCUCUGCUACACAAUAUUUAUAUUAAAGAGGGUAUGUAUAUGGACCAGGAGUCCUGUUCUCAACCAUGAUAAUUCCUACCAUCAUUUAAAUGUGACAGCUGAAAAGGGCAAAGGUAAUUAAAAGCCCAUGUUUAUAAUGCCACUUCUUCACCACCCAAAAUAAGGGUCUUAUAGACAUUAACACAGUUUGUUUUUCCAUCAUAACUCAUAAGACAUAGGGUUAGAUUAAAGUCAAGAGCUACACAAGGUAUACCAUGGGAAGUCUAAGCAUCAAGGGGUUAACAGAUCUAAACAACUAGUAUGACAAUGUGUUUCUGUCCUUCAUAUGAGAGAACAAGUUUAUAAAUUCAUUUUGCUGCUUUUAGUUAAUUUCGCUGUUUGUUUCUUUGUAGCAAGGUAAAUGCUUAUUUAACUCAAACAAUGCAAUAAAGAUGAAAGCAAAAAGAUUCUAUUAUGUGAAUGGAGAGGCAAAUAUGGCAGCAUCAGUGGCAACUAAUGGACCUCUUACAGCUGGAAUUGGAGUUAAUGAUGAAUUUAUGCUGUAUGAAAAAGGUAAUUUUUUAACGAACCAUGUUAAUGAUACAAUAUUAUUUUUUUAUGUCAGAGUACAUUAUGAGAUGUGUUCUUCAGAUUACUUAGAACUUCUUGGAAGUUGUAUACAAAGAGUACCACGUUAAAAAUUUUGUUUUAUUUAAAAAAGAAAUUCCAGUAACUCUUGUGAUGAUAUAAUUUGGAAUGAAAUAUAAAAGAACUAGAAUAUUAUUAUUCAACUAAUGAAAUGUAUUUAACCAUACACAAACCAAUUUGAAAGUUUAGCUAGAUCAAUAGUUGAGAUGUCACCCACAGUAAACAUAUAAGUAAUUAAGGUUGCUCUGAGAUUCUGUUCUUUAUUGAAAUUCAGAAACAAUUUGCUCAGCAUGAGUUUGCCCAUAGGCUUAGCUAUUGAGUCUUCAGGUCCAAGUGUACAUGAGUUCUAUCUAACAAAAACACAAUUAGUUCUGAGUAAAUCUAUAUGGGAACAAUACCUGUCAUGGAAAUAGUGUCAGCGAAAAUUGCAAACACACUUUGUUUAUCUUUUAACUCUAUCAAUAUAAUCAAUUUAUCCUAAUUGCUAUUUACCAUAAUAAUUUAUUAGGAUUCUGGAUUGUAAAAAUCAAUCCUUAACGUGCUGCCCAGAGUGUAUGUCAUUUCCGAAACUAGUAUUUAGAACACGUAAGGAUCGUUAAACUCUGGAUUGGAAAACUUUUUCAUCUCAAACUCUAAAAAUAAUUUUGACAUAUCUUUAUUAUAUGUUUUUAAACAAUUGUUAUUGUUAAGAGAGCAGCAAGUACAAUAUACAAUUGGAGAGAAAAUACAGGUGAAUGUUAAAUUAAUAGUGAAGUGAUGGACAAACUAGCAAAUUAUCCUCAACACUAGGUGCAAUAUUGUAUUUAAGGGAAAGUGACAACCUUAAAUGUAAAAAUAAAUGUACAUAUAUGAAAAAAAAAAAAAAUUAAAAAUGUUAAUCUUUCAUUUAAUUUAGGAAUAUAUGAUGGAACCUGUGCUGAUGGACCAAAUCAUGCAAUUGUCGUUGUGGGUUACGGUCGUAAUUUCUGGACAGUUAGGAAUAGGUAAAUGAAUAAUUAUCAUUUUGAUCUAUGUCUUAUAUUGCAUAUUGACAAGGAUUGAAAAUCACAUUUUUACAGAAUCACAGAAUCACAAAAGCUCAUAAGUGGCUGAUCUUUGGGUGAAGUAUUACGCAUAUGCAUUAGAAUCUUUAAAACAUGAAUUAUAGAUGCUGAGUUAAGUUAUUAAAACUUAAGUGAAGAUGAGUGCACUUAAAAUUCAAUGUUAAAACUGUCAGCUUCUUGAGAGAAAUAAAAAAAAUAGCUCAACUCAGCUCAAUAGCUCAGAAGUGCACCACCAUAGUUCACUUUUGCCUUGAAGUAGCAGAAUCCCAGGGUUGUUUGUAAUUAAAGGGAAACUAUAGUCACCAGAACAACUUUAGCUUAAUAAAGCAGUUUUGGUGUAUAGAACAUGCCCAUGCGGCCUCACUGCUCAACCCUCUGCCAUUUAGGAGUUAAAUCUCUUUGUUUAUGAACCCUAGUCACACCUCCCUGCAUGUGACUUGCACAGCCUUCCAUAAACACUUCCUGUAAAGAGAGCCCUAUUUAGGCUUUCUUUAUUGCAAGUUCUGUUUAAUUAAGAUUUUCUUAUCCCCUGCUAUGUUAAUAGCUUGCUAGACCCUGCAAGAGCCUCCUGUAUGUGAUUUAAGUUCAAUUUAGAGAUUGAGAUACAAUUAUUUAAGGUAAAUUACAUCUGUUUGAAAGUGAAACCAGUUUUUUUUUUUCAUGCAGGCUCUGUCAAUCAUAGCCAGGGAGGUGUGAGUAGGGCUGCAUACACAGAAACAAAGUGAUUUAACUCCUAAAUGACAGUGAAUUGAGCAGUGAAAUUGCAGGGGAAUGAUCUAUACACUAAAAUUGCUUUAUUUAGCUAAAGUAAUUUAGGUGACUAUAGUGUUCCUUAAAUACAUAUUAAUUUCCCCUGAAACAAAAUGUCAACAGGUUGUCAUGCAUGUUUAGAUACUAUUAUUUUAUGACAGAAUAAAGAAUCGCGUGGCCCAUAUAGUUUAUGUAUUCUGCAAUAUGUAUCAUUGUUGUAUCACCGGUCUGUUAUCUUGUAUUUUGAGAUAUUCAUUUUUUUUUUAUCAGGAAAUCAGUUAUUUAACAUUGUCCAACUCCAAAUCUGUUGUCUAAAUAUUCACCUGCUCAUAUAUUAAAAGUUGGAUAGCUAACAUAAAAGCUUAUCUUUGCUUGUUGUCCAGAAAUAUAUUAUGCAUAUCCCGUUAAAAACGUGUGUGCAUCCUAAGAAAGUAUUCUAUAUUUGCCCCUUGAGCUUAGACAGAAAAAUAAUUUACCUCCACUUUUGCAAAAAAACUAAAUAAAACACUUGCAGAUUCAUUAAUGUUGGCAAAUACCGUAUUACAGAUAUAAAGAAUAAAAAUCUGGUUGGUGCUGUUCAGAAAUGAGGAUUAGGAUAGUUGGAACAUACGUUACACUGAGAUAUUAUUGCAUUACCAUCACCAAUUAAAAACUGUAUAUUUUUUUUCUUGUAGCUGGGGUGAUGGUUGGGGAGAAGCCGGCUAUGUGAGAAUGAAGAGAAACAUUAACCAGUGCAGUAUAGGCGUCAUGCCAGCGACUAUGGAAUUCACAUUCAAUUAAAAAACACCUCGAGCAGCAACACAAAAUUCAGUGGUUGACAAAGAAGAAUAUCCCUCUCCAUGAAUUGGCUUUUGUUUUAUUAAAUCUUCACUUGGUGAUUUUGAGAUGGGCUCCACCUACAUAAAACCGAUAAAUGUUAUCAUGGCAUAUGGUUUAUUUUUUAAUUAAAGGAAAUGUUUUUAACUUGUAUUUUCUAUUGUAUUUUUUUAACAUAAAGUGAACUUCAUUAUAAUGGAAGCUAGAAUUAAUAAAAAGAGCUAAAAUGUAAAAUGAGGUAACUAUAGCGAUUAAGGAACAGCCUUAAAAACUAAUUUCAUAUAAAAAUUCUAAAUUUAAUCAUCAACCAAAGUGAUCUAACAGUGCGAACUGAAGGUCAAUUCAAGGAGAAUUUCAAAUUUAAGGUCAAAACAGCCAAGCAUGAAAAAAUCCCAAAGUCGGUCAUAAUUUCAUUUCAGCUACUCUAGUCUUAAAUUUGAAAUUCACUUUGAAUUCUCACUUUACAAAAUAGCUCUGUAAGAGAUAACUGAUAUGUUUGAUCUCUGAGACUGCUCCAAAAAAUAUACAGGAUUCAUUAUACAUGUACCCCAAUAAAAAUUGAAGCUCUCUAAAAAACACUCUAAAGAAAAACUAUAUGUAAAAUAUAUAUAUAUUAACCCCUUGGUGACCACGGACGUACAGGGUAUGUCAGCCAAAAAAUGGUUGUUAACAACUGCUGUACCCUGUCCCCAGCACUACAAUUCCAGUCCUCCCAUUACAGUUCCCUAUCUUCCCACUAUAGGCACUAUUCCCCCCACCACAGGCCAGGGCCAACCCAUUGUGCUGCCUGUAUGAAAUUCUGCCCCAUCACAUGUAGCACACCCACGAAACCCCACCCACAUCCAUUAAGUUAGGUCCUUUUGUGUGCCCUUCUCACUCCCCCAUAUUGCUUCUACUUAUCUCUCUUCAUGUAGUGUGGCUGAGGUUCAGUUCUCUCACUGAUCACUUCCUGUCAGACCGGGUAGAGGAUAAAAUCUUCCACUGUCGCCUUUCUAGCGGCCCUCCAUGACAGUGUACAGCUGCAGAUAGACUGCAGAAGCAUGGCGUACCUGACCGGGAGCAACCGCUCAUCGCCCUUGAACUCUGUUUUGGUCUGCUAAAACUUUAAACAGAGCACUCUCAGUCCCAACACACCUAACAGUGUGCUUUUUUGGAGGUGAGAUAAAGGAGGGGGUGAGGCACCCAGCGAUAACCAAGCUUGGCAAAGGACCUAAGGGGUCAAAACGUUGUGUGGCUCUUGGGUCCAAUAAAAUUGCCUAUCAUUUGGAACAAUUUGGAGUGCCUGGAUUACUUUCUACAAUUAUACUUUAUGCAUGGUCUCUUUGGUACUGGAACUGAUCCAGCAGCACCCUGAGAUUCCAAAGCGAAGAAUUGAGUGCAGUUCCACCAUCUAUAUAUCAAUAUUUGUGUAAGGUUGAGUACAGUAUUCUGGAACAACCCAUCUUUUUUUUAUGUAGUUAUAAAGAAAUGCCAUUUUCCAUUGUUUAACAGACCUAGAGUAUUAGUUGGAGAGAGAGAGAGCCCAAAGAAGGUUUAAAAACCCACAAUUUAAGGUAGUUUCAAUAAAUGCCUAUGGCAUCAACACGCCUAGCAAUAGUUCCAUAAUUUUUGUUUUUUUUGAUUAAAAAUCGGAUACAAAUUUGUGCGCUGCAAGAAAUUUACUGUGAAAAAUCUAACAAUAAUAUAAUUAGCUCAGCAAAAUACCCCAUUAUUAUAAGUGCUGCUCUGGGAAAAAAAAAAAGGUGUGGCCUUCAUGUUUGCCAAAAAUGUCUCACUAAAUAUUAAAUAUUAAAUAUCAAGAAUUAGAUCCACAAAGCCGAUAUAUUAUUUUACUAUGUGAAAUAAAUUAUGUUAUUUACACUAGUUAAUAUUUAUGCACCAAACAAAUUUACAAUGCAUUUUAUUGCAAAAGUGUUUAAGAAAGUAGAGCAAAUUCAACAAGGACUGACAUUAAUUAUGGGGGAUUUUAACAGUGUGAUUGAUCCAUUAAAAGAUAGAAAGUCAGAGUGAUAAAAAAAUCAGGAUACCAAAUGAGGAUAGAUUGCAAAAUUUACUGAACAACUACAAUUUAAGAGAUAUAUGGAAAAUAUUCCACCCUUCUGAUCUGGAUUAUACAUGUUACUCUAAAACAUAUAACUCUUAUUCUAGAAUAGACCUCAUAUUGGGAAAUGUGAGCAUGCUGUAUCGUGUUAAAAGAAUGUAAAUACAAGAUAUAACAUGGUCAGUCCAUAGUCCAAUCGUGUUAGAAUAUAAAGAUACCUUUGGCAUCUUUCGUAAAGAGUGGCGUUUGGGAGACCAUAUACUACAAAAAAAUAAAGUUGAAGAGAUUAAUAAAAUAACUAAGCUCUUUUUUAAAAAAAAAUAACAAGAAUAUACCUAUCCUCCCUCAUACACAAGUAUGUCCUGUCGAGACCCCUGCGCUCCGCCCAAGACCUACGCCUAUCCUCGGAUCCCCACCUCUGAUGCUCGCCUUCAAGACUUCUCCAGGGCUGCACUUUUUCUGUGGAACUCCCUUCCCUCCUCAAUCAGACUUUCAGCCAGCCUCCACUCCUUCAAAAAAUCUUUGAAAACUCACUUCUUCAUUAAAGCGUAUCAAUUAAACUGUCAGCAGGUUUCUCAUCCCCCACCCCAUGACUCCGUUCCUGCACCUGUCAAAAAUGACCUACCAACCACUCAAUAAACCCUUCUGUAACAAACUAUUUAAUUCCCCUACUUUAACCCUUUGUGUCACUAUACCCCACUCCCUCUAGCAUGUAAGCUCAUCGAGCAGGGUCCUCAACCCCCUCUGUUCCUGUACGUCAGUGGUCUGAUCUCAAUUAUGUGUCUGUUAGUCCACCCAUUGUACAGCGCUACAGAAUUUGUUGGCGCUAUAUAAAUAAUAAAAUAAUAAUAAUAAUAAUAGACAGACAGAUGGUUCUGUCACACAGAAUACCUCAUUAAAAGUAAAGAGAGGAAAGUAACUAGUCUCAUCCACCUCUUUGAACUAAAAAAUUAUAAAAAUCUGUUGACAAAAUGUGUUAAGGUUAUAUAUAAAUGGAGACAUUAUAGACAUAUAGAACUGAUCAAAAAAUGGGAACAAGAACUACAAGUACAUAUAGCGGACGAAGAUUGGAUAAACUCCCUAAGUAAAUUAUAUAAAUAUAUACACUGUCUAAAUCUUACAGAAACACAUUUUAAACUUUCAAAUAGAUGGUAUUUAACACCGCAACGUUUAAAGAGAAUUUACCCAGAGACAUCGGCUAGGUGCUGGAGAUGUGAUAUUAGCAAAGGCAACCUAAUCCAUAUUUGGUGGCAAUGCAUACCUAUAAACAAUUAUUGGAAAGAUAUAAUAAAAGUAAUACAACAAAUAACUGAGAUGAAAUUAGGCUUUGAACCUGGAGUAAUCUUAUUAAAUCUAGGGUGGCCAAUAAUUAAAAAACAAGUAAUAAUGUUAAUAUUACACAUUACAAAAGGCAGCCAAACUACUCUUAGCAUGAAAUUGGAAAACAAGAAAAAUCCCAAGUAUCAAAUAGGUAAUAUCACAAGUCAUCUGGCAGGCAAAAAUGGAAAAGGGUAUUUUAAUGAAUUUGGGAAAAAUAUAUAUCCAGAUAGAAGAGUGGGACAUGUGGAUAGAGAAAAUGGAAACACUAAUCUAAUAAUUACACAAAUAUGUAAGAAAGCUUCCCCGGAAAAAAUGGGCAAAUAAAAAAUAAAUUAAAAAAAUAAUAAAACAGUAAAGCAGAUAGGAUGGUGAUCUCUCUCUCCAAAGACAAACAAAUAAAGAAGAAUGGAAAUAAUGGAAUUUGUAAUAGGAGCUAAAAGAAAUGUUGGGGGUAGGGUACAGGGUGUGGAUAAUUGGGAGUUAGAUAAGGCUUGAAGAAUUUAGUUUUCUCCCUCUUGCUGCCUUUGUCUUUCCCUAUCAAUUAACUUAAAUUAGGAAAGAAACAAACCCAAAUCACUGUUUGGGAAGCUCAAUAAAGGGAUGGGAAUCCAAGGGGAAGAAGGAAGGGAGAAAACAUUAAUGAUGACAGAAAACCAAUGCCUAUACUUCAUAUGUAAUAACGUAAUUAUAUAAUGGCAGGUACAAGUCUGAAAUGUUGUAAAAAAAAAAAAUUAAAUACAUUAAAAUUUUUUUAAAAGACUUGUGUAAUGUAUGGGGGAAAAGCCUAUAUCACUACAGCUAUUAUCAUUUAAUUACUCUGGAGAGCUAUAAGCACUGAGGGAAAGGGAAUCUAUAGCAUUGAUACUCUGGUGAUCUGCAGCACACACACUGCCCAAUACAUACAUAAACAAACACAGCAAGCAGCCCUCCCUUACACACACAGGUGGAGGUUUCCAAACAGCCAAUUAGAAGUAUCUCUUCCAGGCACAGGGCGGGGGCGGCAGCUCCUGGAUGCUGAGCCAUCUUCAGGAAAAUUCUGCCUGUCCACAUCCUGCCUGGAUGCCUGAGGGGGUGGGGUAGAUGAGCAGUGCAAUUACGGAUUCCACUCAGCAACAUGCCUCAUUCUCCAUCGCUGCCAGCAUGUGUUCACGUGGGGGAUACAGCCAGUAAAUCUGCAGAAAAAGCCCCCUCAACUAUGUGAAGUCCUGGGCAAAUUACCCAUUGGGCGGAAGAAUACACAUGGAGGUAGGGAAUAAUUUAGGGGGCACCUGCCCCUAUUUAGUGGCCCCCAUGGAGGAGUGUGAUAAGCAGCAUAGGAACAAGUUUUGACACGGGUGGCAUCAGAGUGCCGCCUGGAGCCAUGACCCCACGGGACUUAUGGACAGGCCGGCCCUGCUACAGCCCCUAUUCUCCCACUAGGCCUCAAUCUCCCCCACUACAGCCCCAAGCACAAUACAAAGGUGUAUUCCGUCUGCCCCUAUCAACCCCAGCCCCUUCCGAUCCUGUCUAUAAAAGGUUCACUUACCUGAUUAUUAUACAUGGCAGAAUUUAAUCAUGAUUAGCUUCUCUCCUCAUUGCAGAAAGGACAGGAAAUAGAACUCUGAAAUUGGUAGAAAUAGAUCCUCCUCUCCAACAGGCAGUCUAUAUAACUAGCUUCACAACUCUCAUAGAUGGGUGAGAACAUAAUGCGGCCAUGUAUAAUGAUCAGGAAAAGAAAAUUAUGGUAAUUAUAAAACAAUUUCCUUAUUCCUGAUUCCUGAUAAUACAUGGUAGCAUUUACUCAUGGGAAAAACCCAAGUGGCAUAACUGGAAGUGGUAUAACUUCCAGACACCAAACUGUAACAAUCCCUGAAAUUCCAGACACUACUGAAUCAAAACAGGCAUACCCUGCUAUCAAACAAGAAGGAGCAUUAAAUUGAAAAUUCCACUUUUUUUCAGGAAGCAUGGAUUCUUAAUGACAGAAUUCACACUGCCUCAUCUUGUCUCUUGAGCUACUUACCUGUAGAUACAGGAAACAAAACAAUAUAUGUCUGUAAGAACAAGGCAGAGCCUAGCAGAGAAAUAAGAGGAUCUAUUGUAAAAAUACUGCAGCAAUGACUACAUAUUGCAAAUAUCAGACUCUCAACUACACCCCAAACUGUGAAUGAAUUGUUUGAUACAGUAAUGAUCAUUUACAGGAGAGCUAGAAACCAAUAACACAAAUAGUAGAUGUGAUGAAGUUCCGGGACUCCGACCGAGUACCUCCGCCAGGUUCGCUUUUUGCUGCCACAGGAGACUCAGCACUUCCGACUCAGUUGCUGAAGCUUGACCGGGAUCUCUCCAGAACUCUUCUCAGACAUCCCAACAUGCAAAAAUGCAUUUCAGGGAGGUAUCUUCCUGCCUACCAGUUAAUAUCCCAGGGGCUCGGGCGACUCUUAACCGGGCCCCUGAUUAGUAUAUAAUAUGGAGGUGUUAGGGGGCACAAAUCAUACCCUUAUAAUGGAAAUCACACACACACACAUCACAUUGUGUGUGUAAUUUCUGGGAUAUUGUGUUUGACUUGGGGGUGUCAGGGAGCCACAUUCAAAAUGCAGGAGUCCGGAACACUUGGGAUGUCUUCCACCCAGGUUAUCAAGUAACAAUGAAUAGUUUGUUUUUCAGUUGCUACCAUCACAAGCCUCUUUCAGUGGCUCUUGGGACCAGGUCCAUAGUCUGUGGGCAAGAGCAGGCCUUCAAGCCUCUGCAAUAGGCCAUGGCAUGGAAUCUUCUGACACUAGGCAAAGGCAAGAAGGAGCACACAAUUCAGAUAGCAGUGAAAGAAUAUACCACGUGUAUCAGAAACACCUUAAUGGGAAAAAGGAGAAAAUAAAGGUAAAAAAGUGAAACUAAUUUACCUUAGUUAAUUAUCUGCAUGUAGAGUAGGACUCCUACAGGUCCUCAAUCAUAGACAAUACCAAAAAAACAAAUACCAAAAAGCAGGUAGCUACAUUGCAAAAAUAAAGAGAAAACCAUAGGGGAAUAGUGCAAUAUACAAAGUGAUAUUAAGGUUUAAAAAUGCACACUCACGAACCCAAAUUGAUUGAAGGUGUAUCAAUACAUUGAAGGGUAUCCUCGUAUCAGGAUUGAAUCAUAUAGGAGAGAAAAUGAAGAAGUGAUAGUGCAGAGUUUCUAUAACAAUUUCUAGUGUGCAUUUUUAAAUCUUAUUAUUACUCUGUGUAUGGCAAUAUUGCCCUAUGGUUUUCUCAUUAUUUUUGCAUUGUAAUUACCUGCUUUUUGGUAUAUGUAUUAGCAGUGAGAGAAUAUCAGAAUAAACCAUAGAAAUGAUGGCAACUACUUAAUUAUAAGUGGGAAAUGUAGGCCAACAACAUGAGGACAUACAUUCAAAGACUAAAAUAUUGUAAAUAGUACAAAUGCCUAACAGUAGAAUAAAAUGAUUAAAGACUGUUGAUCAACAUAAGUAGGUAACAUGUUAUAGGUAGACACCAAAGAAAGAGUCACAGGAUACAUUGUGGCAAGAGACACAUAAUAAUAAACAUAAAAAGCAGAAUAGUUUAAAAUAUUCAGUUGUCCUUAUGAGAACAAACAACCACAUGCUUACCCUGACCUUAUCUUGAGAUAGUGAUAAAGGACUUAAGGCAGAGCAUAUGGUGAUGAUAAGAUCCUUGUGCAGCUUGUUGUAUCUGCAAAGCUUUCAACAUCAGUCCAUGCAUAUAAUUGACAAAUACUACAUCAAUGCAAUGUCAGGAAUGAAUGUCACUAAUACAGAUCUAGUUACAGAGACGAUGUGAAGCACAUCAGUCAAAUGUUUGUCACAAACAAGCACAAUAAUAUAUUAUGAUGACUCCACUGCAUAAAGCCACACAUUGACUGUAAAGUCCAGAUAGUAGGUGUCACGGGUUCGCUAGUCUAUUGCUGUUAUUCCUUCAAUCCUCCACUAGUCCUAAUUCCAGAUGUGCUGAAUAUGGUGAUAGUAUUAUCGCUGUGUAGAGUUUCCCCAAUAUAAUGGACCCAACAGUUGUAUCAGGUACAAGAAGCAAUCUGAGCUUUAUUAGGCAACACUCGGCUUUUUAUACAGUGCCUCUAGCAUGGUGUUUCUAAGACAAAAUCACAGGGGUUUCCUUCCCACAAGCCAUUGUGUUUGAGAGAUAAUUGAGCUCCAAUUAAGAUAACUCAAUUAUCUCUCAAAUAGGAAAACAUGCAUACAAGUUUUACAUAUCACGAAAAUACAUGAAAACAGCAUAGGAACCCCAUAAAAAUACAGCCCCUUUAGCCCAGAAUAGCCCCUAUAUGAACACACAACAUAUCAAAAAAGCACACAGAUCGGUUCAGUAGAAUGUGAGUUAGGUUCGAACAAAGUUUUGACCUACUGGCCAUGAGGUGGUAGCCCAAAACAGUUCCAGAGAAUUGCCAGGCUGGCCGGUGGACUUUUGGGGGUACCUGUGCAUACACCAACAAACACAUACCCUAGCUUUUAUGAAAUUAAUGCUUCCUUUGUUUGGUAGUUUCUUACUCCCGAACGCCGUUCUCCUAGCUGGUAGGGAAAUCGAACGGGCAGGGGUACUAGUUUCAGCGGAGUUCGCGAGCUUGCGCAGCCAACUUAGAGAUCCAUGCCGUUGGCAACCAUGUACCACUGCCUGCGUUCCAGAGACAAGAUGGCCACCCAGGGAAGUACUUGAGGUGAUUGCUUGGUUGGGCUUAACAGCCAGGCGUGGUCUGUGAUUACGAGUUGUUAACCACACAUAGUCUGUUCGGUAACCAAACAGAGGGGAACGGAUAGCUGAACACAAGGGUACAAUUAUCAGGUAGUGAUUCCAUUCUAAUGCAGGGGGAUAUCAGACAAAACAAAGUACAAAUAAAGGAACAUGUACGAGCAGUCCCAUCUCCCGUGAGAGUAGGACACCUAGAAAAACACCCUUGAACAUUAGAACGGAGGUCAGUAAUGGGACUAGAUGUUCAGAGAUUUCCCUUAUUGUUCUGGUAGCAAGAAAAUUUCACCUGAAAUAUUAAACCUGUGAGAAUAGUCCGAGGACUGAAGAGACGUUCCAUUGGUAAUAAAAACACUUGCAAUACCCAGUAACAAUAUUAGAUGGAGAUUAUGAGAUUUAGAGAAAAAAUGUAAUCGCAGAAAAUAAAUAAUAAUAUUCCCCCCUGAGAACUUCACAACAGGGAAAUCUAGAGGAAAUUCUGAUUCUAACCACUUAAUAACCAAAAGCAUGCCACCCCAGACAUGCAUUAAAGGCAUGGUCUAAGUCAAAAUCUCCAAGGCAUUAAAUAGCAGAAUACUGAAUCUAACAAACAGUAUAUUCUCACAAUUAUACAUAUUAUGCUUUAAGGGAAUUCACUACAUUCUAAAAAAAUUCAAAACCAACUGCAGAGCAUUGAGCUAAAAUCUGAAUAAAAAUUAUAAACCAGACCAGGAGUUGCGCAUUUGCAUAGUAGAAUCCUGCAGAAAUUAAAAAUGAUUACUAAAGUUGUCCCUUGGUGAUACAAAGAGCUAAUAUUUACAGCUUUUAAAUCAAAGUCAAAUUAUAUUUGAGAAAGUAAAUCAUACCAAUGAAAACAGUCAGGUAAUUGCUUCAAAUAGUUACUUGCUCAUCGGAGCAAUAAAUAGCCCCAGAUGGAUGCCUGCAAUCAGCAAGAUCUACUAAGCUUUUCACCUGCAAUCAGCAAGCUCUAUUAAGCUUUUCACCUGCAAUCAGCAAGAUCUACUAAGCUGUGUGCUGGCAAUCAGCAAUAUAUACUAAUUGCACGUGUAGGUACUGAGGCUGUGUUUCAAUAGUACAUCAUACAGAGACUACAUCUACUAUAUACAGUGAAACUAUGUCUCCACAUCAGGGGAAAUGCUAAGAUUAUAUGAGUUAGAUAAAUUGAGACUGUGUUUUUACAGCACUUCAUGCACUGAUUAUAUCACUCAUAUAUACUGAAGCUGUGACUAACAGCAACCCACAGAGCUUGUGUUAGACUUGUAUACAUAAGUCAUCUUCACAAUCGUUCAUACACAAAGAUUAUAUUGGACUCAUAUAUAGAUGUUGUGUCUUUUAAACCAUUCACAUAUACUGUUGUAUUUUCACACCGUGCCAUGCCAAUUCUCAAGCACCCUUCCUAGCUGCCCUCAGAAGCAGAAAAGCUCCAGAGGUGCCUGUAUGCAUUUGCACAGCUGUAAAACAACAAAUUACAUUACAUUGUUGAUUUUGAAGUCCUAUGAGUGUGUUCUUCACUCUGGCUGAGAUCAUCAAACUUGAUGAUCUUAGCCAAUCCAAUUCUUUCCCACUGGAAAAUUGGAAGGUUAUUGUGCAUGUGUGACAAAAAGCUACACGGCCAGUCAGCAUCUCCAUGGGGAGCAUUCAGCGCCUCCAUGCAGGCCCAAUCUGAUACACUGCCCUACCCUCCAUUCUAAUACAUUGCCCCCUCCACGUUAAUACACUGUCCACAAAUCCAAUACAUUCUCCUUAAAUCUAAUACACCGCCCCCUCCCUCCAUUUUUAUAUUCACUUUCCCCUUCACCCAAUUGAAUACACUGCCCUUAAAUCGAAUACACUGCCCCCUACCUCCACUCUAACUGAACACACUGCCUCCUUACCUCCCCCAAAGUAAUACACUGCCCCCAUCCAUCCCCCAAUUUAAUACAGUGCCCUUCCACCAACUUAACACACUGCCUUCUUCCCCCAACUUAACACACUGCCCCCUCCCAUCACUCUAAUACACCGCUUACCUCCCACCACUCUAAUACACUGCUCCCUCCCACACUGCACCACACCAACACUCUCAUGCUGCCUUUCUCCCUCCCCCAAAUGAAUACCCCUCAAUUUAACACAUUGCCCCCUCCCACAAUUCUAAUACAUUGCCUCCCUUUCCCACCACUCUAAUACACUGCCCACUACCUCACCCAAAAUUAUGCAUUGCCCCCUCCAUACCCCAAAUGAAUGCACUGCCCCCUCCCUCCCUCAAAUUAAUACACUGACCCCCUCCCUUCACAGAAAAGGGGCAUACCUGUGAAUCAGUGAAGAGAUAUAACAGGGGCUAGAGUUGUUCAGUGCUUAAUAGGUAUGGGUUAGUAUUUUGAAAUUGACCCCUAUAGUAUACACAAAGUAAAGACAGAUAGAGGGGUGAGAGGAGCAACUGGAAAGGAAAAUCAGCCUGGUGGCUACAUUCAUUACAAACUAUGGCAAGGUAAAACAGAUUCUGGGGAGACCAAUUAGGAGAGAAUUACAAUAAUCAAUGUGAGAAAUUACUAGAGUAUGAACAAGCUCCUUAGCAGCAUCAUGCAUAAGAAAGGGGUGGAAGCUGGCAAUAUUUUUAAGAUGGAAUCGACAGGAUUUGGAAAACAGACUGGACAUGAGGCUCAAAGGUGAGGCCAGAAUCAAAGAUAGCACCAAGACAGGGAGCUUGCAAGGAGAGCUGAAGCGCAUACUUGCAGGGAGAGUGGAAGAAGAGGAUCAAUAUUAUGAGAAGAAAAGACAAGAAACUCAGUUUUAGAGUGAUUGAGUUUCAGAAAGCAGGAGGACAUGUAUGUUUGUAGUAGGGUUGCAGUAUCCAGGGCAGUGAUGAGGCUAGUGUUAUAUGAGGAGAUAGCAAGUCAGGGACAGGAAAAGGUAGGGAUGGAUGAGUGUUGAGAAUGGACAUAAGCUGAGAGCUUUUGAAGGUCAAUAAAAUUCAGGUUUUAACCUGAGUUGAGGGGGGAUAGGCUGAGGAUGUUGGGCGAGGGGGUUCUCAUGAGCAAAUCAGAAGAGGUGGAGAUCUGAGAGAUGGAAUGGUCAUUUAUAGAGAUUAGAGAUUGUGCAUGCAUCUGAAAAAUAAGUUCAAGGUUGUUGCUAACCAUGUGGGUGUAUGUAUUAACCCACUGCAAUAGCCAAAGGGAGGAAGUAAUUGAAAGACGUUUUGAAGCUACUGAGGUAAAUGUUGAAAUAAUGGGAAUGUUGAAGUCCUCAUGGAUGGAAUAUUAAAGGAAAGGAAGUAGGGAAGUCAGGCAGCAAAGUGGUCAAGGAAGAGAAGAGAGGGACCGGGGGAAGCGAACAAUACAACAAGAAACAGAAAUAUUUGCAGAUAUGGGUUUAAACAGGCUUAUUAAUAAGAUCAGUACAAACCAGAGAAGAAAGGGAAUAAAUAAAACAACCUGCUUCAAAAUGUUCACUUUACUUUGUGUACAUAAAUCAGACUGUUUUGACAGUCCAUUUUAAUUUAGUGCUAAUUCAGGAUAAAAAUAAAAUAAAAAAAAAAUAAAAUAAAAAAAUUUCCUGUUUUUUAUUUGUAUUAUUUACUCUGCAUUUAAUAUUGCUUUUGCAUGUAGAUUUUCCUUUUUUUCUUCUUUCAUUCUCUCUUUCCUUUCCACUAUUUCCUGUUUCUUUAUUCCCCCAUUUCCUUUCUUCCCUGCUUUCUGCUCCCCUUUCCUUCACUUCUCAUCUUUUACCUUCCAAUUAUACAUUCCAGACCAACAAUGGUUUUCAGAGGAGCUCCAACCAUUAAGCAGAAAUAAUUCCAAGCCCUUGAAACUAAAAAACAUUUUUUUUAAAUUAAAAUAAAGGUUUUUAUAAAUGUGGACAAUGCUAUAUAUGCAAAACUACAGGACCACCUUAUGGAAAAAUAACUAGUUUUAAAUCAAACCAGACCAAUAAGAUUUACGAUAUUAAGGAGUGUAUUACCAGUAAUUCCAAACAGGUAAUAUAUUUACUGCAAUGUGAGUGUGGAUUCCAGUAUGUUGGGCAAACUAAAUGUAUGUUGAAAGCUAGAUUAAGAGAACAUACUUAUAACAUUAAUAGAAAAUUUGAAAACCACACUCUGUACAAACAUUUCGCUGAAAGCCACAAUGGUAACGUCAAAACAAUAAAAUACUGUGGGAUUCAACUAGUCCACAUACCAUGGAGGGGAGGUUCAGUGAAAAUCUAAAAUCUUUAAUUCCAUUUGUAUUAAAUGCGGAACUAGAACUACUUAACAUUCUAUGAAAAUAGAGUUUAGCCCAUCCUAUUUUAAUAGUCUCUGUAUACACUAAUUUUUAGGAUUUUAUUAUGUCUCUUCUUUUUUAUUUAUUAUUAGUUCUUCUUUUAUUAAUUGUUUUAAUUGAUUGAUUUCCUAUUGAUAUAUAUAUAUAUAUAUAUAUAUAUAUAUAUAUAUAUAAAUAUAUAUUUAUCAUAUAUUAACAUCCUCUGCAUUUUUAGGUUCAUUUAUAUAUUAUAAAACAGUAAGUGUAAUAUUAUGAACAUCAAUUUACAAGAUAAUUUUACUUCUAAUAAUUUACACAUUUUUGAUGUCCAAAAAAUAUUUAUUUUUUGGUAAAUAUGAUAUGUAGUGAUUUAUUUUUUUGCUUUUCUUCUUCUUUUUUUAUCGCAAUCUAAAUUGUGUAAUUUGUUAUGUUAUUCUGUACCUCCAUUAGAAGAAAAUAUCUAACUCUUAUAACACAGUAAAAAUAACAAUUUCAACUAUACUAAAGUGUGUGUGUGGAGUAAGGGAUUAUUUUUGUAUGUCAUGGUAGUUGUCUUUAAGUUUUCUCAAAUAGCUGAAAUGGUAUUUUCCUAAAGAGUUGUUACCAGCUGGGCACAGAAAUUGGUCAAAUGGAUUGUAUAUUAUAAAAGAUUAUUCCAGAUUAACUCCAAGGGAUGUUAGGUGUAAGGAGGUUUUUUUUUUUUUUUUACCAUGUUUGCUGUUUGAGGAGACUUUAUGAGACUGAAGAAUGUGGUCACCAAGAUAAAUAUGGAUGUAUUUGAAUUGGUAGAUAAAAGAAAGCUUAGAAUUAUACCAGGGAAAUGCCACUAUGAAAAGAGAAUAAAAUUAAAUAAGCUCAAAUAGGUGCAGAGUGGGAAAAAUUAAAUGAUUUUACUAGUUCCCCUAUUGACACCUUGUAAAGGAGUGGGGGAGCGACAUAUUUCUAUAAGUGUCAGGAGGUGGAGGAAAAUCAAAAUUUAACAGACAAUUGUUAAUUUAGAGGGACUAAUAAGGGUCAUUUUAGAGUUCUGUUUGCUUCUGUUAAAAUAUAUAGUGUAUUUGUUCAUCUAAGUAUGUCUUCAAAUUAUUUUAAAAAUAUCUCAAAUGGUUUGCACACAGUUUGAUCUACAUAUUCAGAAUUUAGUAAUUAUUCAAACUGCAUUUUCCAUUUUUAGCUUUGCCUCUUGCAUAUGUAAAAUGCUCAAGAGACAUUAAUAGGGUUAUUUUUAACCCUAUUCUUAUAUGUCAAUAUAUUUUAAACAUAAUAUCAUUGUUUACAUGUGGAACUUCAGAUAUAUGUUUUUUCCCUCUCUCCUCUUUUAUUAUUAAGUUACGCUGUCAACGUAAUAAAAUACCACCAAAAGAUACCACAUAUUUCCUCUUUUGUUGUGAUUUCCUUUCUCUGUUAUAUCAUAUCAAUCUUAAAUCUUAUCAGUUCUGUGAUAGGUCAAACUGUUUUCACAUAUCUGAUUCUUAGCAUGACUUGCCGCAAGUAAGAAUUCUAUUGGUGGGGAGAAUUAUAUAUAAAGACCAAUAUUUUGAAAGCUCUUCAUUCACCGAGACCUGAAGGAGCUCCUGGUCUUGGGAUCACAUCAGGCAGGUACGUUACCAGCUUAAUUGCAGUGUACAUGCUAUUUCAAACAUAGAAUGUACAUACAGCAUAUUAACUUAGGAAAAAACUAUUGUGUGUGGUUAAACAGUUUAUAAACCUAUCUUGCCUCCUUUAUGAUAAGAACAUUUUGAUGUUAGUUGUGGAUGGAUAUUUAUAGUUUUCAUAUUUCAAAACAAAAACUUUGCUGUGCAAGAUGUAACUGGCCUAUGUAAACUUAAGACGUACUAUUGGUUUACUUUAGGAUGCAGUUCAAUAAACUUCUAUUCCUCUUCUCAACAAUUGUUGUCUGCGCUUCGGCUGCACAUUUCCUUGAACAAGAAUGGAAUCUGUGGAAAUCUAAAUACGGUAUGUAAUUACACAGAUACACACAUGUAUGAGUUAUGCUAAUUAGUGACAUGUACAUACAAACAUAACUAUGAUUUGUUUAUUGUUUAUUAAUUCUGUGUCAAUGCAAUAAAAGAUUUAGUUGGUUUCCACGAUGUACGUUAAGUGCCUUGCCACAUAAUUGUAAGCUUGUUAUCGCCUUAUUAUAUUCUUUACUCUAUGUAUUUGCGGUUUCUCUUAAUUACAUUAAAUAACUUCAAUAUAUUUUAAAUAUAUAAUAGCCCUAAAGAUUGUCAGAAACUUAUAUUGCAAAUGCAAAGAUUAUGAACAUACAUAUUAAGAACUUUAACUGUGUUGCUGGACAAGAAAAAAAAGACAAAUAGUGGUUUGAUGGAUACGUACCGAUCAUUAAAAUGUGUGAAUGCUCAUCAAAAAACCAAAAGGCCAAUUUUUUCAACCAUACCUACAGCUCUAUACUACUGUAAUUUGCUCUAUUUGAAGGGCAAAUUACAUCACAUGAAAAGUGUUAGCAUUUUAACUGUUUUUAAUUACCUUUCCUUUUUUUAAAUAUUCAUUUUACUGGACUUGUGUGCUCGUAUCCGUCUUUAGUCUUGCAAGGGAAUAUGGGAAUUAAUAAAUACUAAAUGCGCAACAAAUAGUUAAAAAGCAAACAAACUACUUUGAGCACAAAGAAAGUUUAAAAUCUUUAUUGUGACUUCAAAUACAGUGCAGGAUUUGUCCAAAGGUUGUGAAUUAACUUGUUUCAAUGGUUAAAUUCCAUGGCAGGAAAACAAUAUGACACAGAAGAAAUUGAGCUGAAUCGCCAAGAAGCAUGGUUAGCCACGAGGGAUCUGGUGCACCAACACAACCAGCUGGCAGAACUAGGUCUUAAAAACUACACUUUGGCAAUGAAUCAGUUUGCAGAUCUGGUAAGUUUUCUGAAACCAUUCUGUAAGAGUAUUAUUCAUUUAAUUAAAGUUAGAUUUUUUUUGUUUCUAUACCAGAUUAUAUAAACAUCUAAAAUAUUAUUAUUAUUAUUAUUAUUAUUAUUAUUAUAUACUAUAUAUAGAUAAGCAGCAUUUACAAUGCCACUAGAUAAUAGUAGUGGCAAUUUUAACUAUAGAAAAAAAAAACAUAGAAAAGAGCCACCAUCAAUGGUUUUGCAAUAACAUUAAUGGAUUAUAAAAUAUGGACCACUGGAAAUGUAUGGAAAAGAGUGUGGGAGCAACUACAUUAAUUUUUGUUGACUUCUUGGAAAAGGACAUUUUUACAUUUCAUUAAGUAGUUUUUAUAUAUUAUUUAAAAAAAAUGUAAAAUGUUUUAUUUGCAUAAUAUUGCAUUUAGUGAAUGGAAUGAAGUGAUUGAAAUGUUUUUUUUUUAUAAAUAUGGUUAUCCUGUUUCAGACCCCAGAAGAACGGGCUUCCCACAUCAGCCUUGGUUUGAAAGGACAAUUGGCAAUUUCACACCAUACCCAUAUUCGCCAUGGAAAUCUGCCUGUUAUUCCUGAUGAAUAUGACUGGAGAAAUUCAAAAUGUGUGACUCCAGUUAAAAGUCAAGGAGAAUGUGGCUCAUGUUGGGCAUUUGCUACGGUAAAAACGAUUUAUGAGCUUAUAAGAAUGGGUUUAUGCUACUAAUAUGUUAAGUCAUGGUAAAUUCACAAUGAAUAACAUUAGAGUGUGACUUUCAAUAUUGAGGUCUAUUAUGUUAGCCAAGAAAUGUCCUUUUACAAUGUAGUGCCUGGGGCAAAAGAGAGCAGAUAGAUAAACUGAACUUAAUCAUUUGAGCUGCCAUCUUGUUCCUCAUUCUACUUGAACUCGGAGUACAAUAUGGUAGCCUGUGGAGAGAUCUCAGUAUUUUUCAAGAUGAUCUUGCACAAGCUCAAUGACAUGUCAUCAAUAUCUAUUGUUCAUGCUUCAAAAUGAUGCCUGUUCCGAUCAGCACAAUUUGGCACAUUGUGCAGUCAUUUGAUUUUUUUUACACAUUUAUAGAUGCAAUCUCAUUGCAACUGUAUGAACUGUCAGGUUGUUCAAAGCUUACUACCGGUAGUAAUUUGUACCCAUACUUAGCUAUCCCACUAGUCAUAGUUCUGCCUGUACAUGGUUAAAGAAUUUGCUGUUUUUCUUGCAUCCUUUAAAAGCAAGGUUUUUUGUAAUUUUUAUUUGCCUAUUAAUUUAUGGAUAAUGUUCAAUAAAUUAUUAAUUCAUUACAAUUACAAUUAUUUAUAUAGCACAAACAUAUUAAUAAUAUAUAGUAUACAUAAGUAUAUAUACAUAUAUAUAUAUAUAUAUAUAUAUAUAUUUAGAGAGAGAGAGAGAGAGAGAGAGAGAGAAAAUCCACCCACAAAAAUAUAUAACAAUUUGACAUUUUAUUAGUAGUUUAUUAGUAUUUUUAUAUACUUUGACCUAUUAUUUAGAUGCAGCUAGCACUUAGGCAACUUGUGUGACUUUUAACCGGUUAACUGCUGCCUGUCAGUAGUCCUUCACAGCUGAGCUACUUCUUUGUGCUCCGCUGUGGUCAAGCAUAAGAUAACACCAUUCAGUGCAGGCAGCCGUUGUUACAUGAGAAUAUACUGCUAGGUAUCUUGCAGACAAAAUGGAGCCAGUUCAGCAACCCCUUAUUUUACACUUUACUGCUUGACAGAAACCUUUAAUUUAUUACGCUGCUAUGAUCUAGGCAGCUUUUGUGAUAUUUAAUUGGCUAAUCGCCGUCUGUCAGAAAUCUCUCAGCUGAACUAUUAUCUUUGAUCUUUUUGAGGUUAAGCACCAUAGAACAUUAUCAAUUGUUGUAUGUGGAGUUAACCCAUGUCGUUAGUUGUACUAUCAUGUAGGGAUUUACUUAUCCAUAUCUUUUAACUAUUGACAGCACUGGUUUAGCAGUUGUCUUAUCUCCCCCCCUCUUGUUACAGCUAUUAGUGAUAUAUAAUAUAGUAUCACUUCUAUUACUUGGGAAUACACUGUUAUAUUGUAGCUAAACAGUAUUGCUUCAGCAUUAGUGUUAUUAUGUAUACACUUUUACAGCUUAUAUAAGUAGUCACAGAGUUUUACUCGCUGUAUAGUCUCCAUUUACUCCUGCUGUUCAUAUUAUUUUUUCUUUUUUAUAUUUUAUUUUAGAUUUAUUUAUUAAAAGUUACUUUUUAAUCUACAAUCUUCUCAGUAAAUCAUACACAGGUAGAAUGGCAUUUGUUUCUUUUUUUGUUUAUUCUCUAUGAUAUUCACCAUUUAGGGGUUACCCCCCUUUUUUUUGUGCCCUCUACCUUGUGAUAUCUAAAUUUUGGCCCUAGGUUAAUUAAUUUUUUUCAUUUUCUUUGUAUAAUAUUUUUAUCAUCUGAUCUAACAAUAAUGGCAUGUAUACAAUACUAAUGAAAAUUACAAGCUGGAAUAUCCUUUUUUUUGUAUGACAAUUCUCUUUAUAUUUUCUUUGUUGCGAUUUUCUUUAGAGGUAUUUGUGGAGACAUAACCUACCUGAUUCCUGUACCUACCAAUCUCUGUUAGUGCAGUUGGUUUGUUAUUGUGUUUUGAUGUUUCUUGCUAAAUUAAACGGAUCUUAUGUAAAUUGUUUUUGAAGGUGAGCCUUAUUGAAACCCGGUACUGCCUUGAUAAGGGUAAGCAACUCAUAUUCAGUGAGCAGCAGCUUGUGGAUUGCGAUAAAGCAAAUGAUGGUUGUGAUGGUGGACUCCCAGUUAAGGCUCUGGAAUAUGUUUCCAAAAAUGGUAUUAUGAAGAGUGAUGACUACAAAUAUAAAGAAAAGGUAGGAGAAAAAAUGAAAAUAACCUACUAAGUUCUCAGCGAUUACUUUUCUCGCAACCUAUUUCAUUACCCCUACUAAUACCCUUUUGUAUCACUGUACCACACUCCCUCUAGCAUGUAAGCUCAUUGAGCCGGGCCCUCAACCCCUCUGUUCCUGUGCGUACAUUUGUCUGGUUACAAUUAUGUGUCUGUUAGUGCACCCAUUGUACAGCACUAUGGAAUUUGCUGGCGCUAAAUAAAUAAUAAAAUAAUAUUAAUAAUUUCAUCCCUUGAGACGAUCAUGUACAGUUCUUUUACAUUUAGAUUUUCGCUUGUGUAUUACUAUAAAUUGAAGAGAAUUUUGAGAAGUCACUGCACUUUGACUGACUGCCCCAAAACCUGACCAAUCAUACUGGAGAGGUAGAAUCAGCCAGUGAUAUAGAUUUGUUUGAGUGAGCUAGGGAUGCAUGGUUAUACAUACUGUGUGUGGACACAGGAUUUGGACCAGACACUGAAUACAAGGAGUAGAAUUAUAGCAUUGAUGCUAGAAUUAUAGCAUUGGGGAUUUUUUGGUAACCGUGGUAUAGAGCACAAAGUAAUUAGAUUUAGGGGAUUUGGGUAUCUCUGCUACAUAAUAUUUAUAUUAAAGAGGGUAUUUGUAUGGAUCAGGGGCCCUGUUCUCAACCUUGAUAACUCCUACCAUCAUUUGAAUAUGACAGAUAAAAAAAGGGAAGAGGUAAUUAAAAGCAAUUCUUCACCAUCCAGAAUAAGGGGGUCCUCUAGACCAUAACAGAGUUUGUUUCUCCACCAUAACUCAUAAGGUAUAGGGUAAAAUUAAAGCCAAGAGCUCUGCAAGGUAUGCCAUGGGCAGUCCAAGCACCAAGGGGUUUAAAGAUCUAAACAACUAGUAUGACAAUGUUUUCCUGUCCUUCCUAUGAGAGAUCAAGUUCAUAAAUUUAUUUUCGCUGUUUGUUUCUUUGUAGCAAGGUAAAUGCUUAUUUAACUCAAAUAAUGCAAUAAAGAUGAAAGCAAAAAAAUUCUAUUAUGUGAAUGGAGAAGCAAAUAUGGCAGCAUCAGUGGCAACUAAUGGACCUCUCACUGCUGGAAUUGGAGUUGAUGAUGAAUUUAUGCUGUAUGAAAAAGGUAAUUACUAACGAAGCAUGUUAAUGAUGCUAUAUUAUUUUUCAUGUCAAAGUACGUUAUGAGAUGUAUUCUUCUGAUUACUCAGAACGUCUAGUCAGUUGUAUACAAAGGAGACCCAACUAAAAAUGUUGUUUUAUUUAAAUAAAUUCCAGUAACUCUUGUGAUGAUGUCAUUUAAAAUAAAAUAUAGAAGAACUAGAAUAUUAUUAUUCAACUAAUGAAAUGUAUUUAACCAUAAACAAAUAAACGUAUUUGACAGUUCAGCUAGAUCAAUAAUUGAGAAGUUACCCGCAGUAAACAUAUAAGGAAUGAAAGUUGAGAUUCUGUUCUUGAUAGAAAUCAAUUAACAAUUUGCUCAGCAUGAGUUUGCCCCCAGGUUUAGCUUUUGAGUCUCCAGGUCCACAUGAGUUCUAUCUAACAAAGCCACAAUUUGAUUAAAUCAAUAUGGUGACAAUACUUGUUAUGGAAAUAGUGGCAGUUUAACUGAUGCUAUCUGUCUGUGCAAUGUAUCAUAAUUGCUAUUUACCAUAACAACUUUUUAGGAUUCAGGAUUGUAAAAAUCAAUCCAUAACUUGCUAUUCAGAAUGUAUGUCAUUUCACAAACUAGUUUUUAGAACAUGUAUUGAUCGUUAAGCUCCAGAUUGACAAACUUUCCAUCUCGAGCUCUACAAAUAAUUUUGACAUAACUUUAUUAAAUAUUUUUUUAACAAAUGUUAUUUUUAAGAGAUCAGCAAGUACAAUAUACAAUUGGAGAGGAAAUACAGGUGAAUGUUAAAUUAAUAGUGAAGUUAUGGACCAACUACCAAAUUAUCUUCAACACUGGAUGCAAUAGUGUAGUUAAGUGAAAGUGACAACCUUAAAUGUAAAAAAAAAAAAAAAAAUGCACAUAUAUGUAACUUAAAAAAAAAAAAUGUUUAAUCUUUUAUUUAAUUAAGGAAUAUAUGAUGGAACCUGUGCUGAUGGACCAAAUCAUGCAAUCGUCGUUGUGGGUUACGGCCGUAACUACUGGACAGUUAGGAAUAGGUAAAUGAUUAAUUUCACUUUGAUCUAUGUCUUUCAUUGCAUAUUGACAAAAAUGGAAAAUCACUUUUUUCACAGAAUCACAAAAAUCACAAAAGCUUAUAAGUGGCUGAUCUUUGGGUGACAUAUAACAUACAAUGCACUGUAAGCUAUUUCACCUAAGAGAUGCUGAGUUACAUUAAAAAAAAAGUUAAGUGAAGAUGAGUGCACUUCAAAUUCAAUGUGAUUACUCUCCGUUUCUUAAAAGAAAUAAAAAAAAUAACUUGGCUCAGCUCAAUAGCUCAGAAGUGUACCACCAUAGUUCAAUUUUGCCUUGAAGCAACACAGUCCCAGGGUUGAUUUUAGUUUCUGAUAAAUUAUUACAGAUUGUUUAGUUGAUACUUAUUAACUAAUGACAGAAUAUAAGAAUUCCGUGGUCCAUAUAGUUUGUCCAUUCUACAAUAUGUAUCAUUGUUGUAUCAACGGUCUGUUAUCUUGUAGUUUGAGAUAUUAAUCGUCUUAUCUGGAAAUCAGUUAUUUACUAUAGUCCAACUCCAAAUAUGUUGUUUAAUUAUAAACAUGCUCAUAUAUUAAAAGUUGGAUAGCUAACAUAAAAGCUUAUCUUUGCUUGUUGUCCAGGGAAAUAUAAAUAUUCAAUUAAAAACAUGUCUGUGCAUCCUAUAUUUGCCCCUUGAGCUUACACAGAAAAAUAUUAAUUCUUGAUAUUUACCUCCACUUUUGCAAAAGAAAAUACUUGCAAAUUCAUUAAUGUUGGCAUAAACCUUAUUACAGGUAUUAAGAAUGAACAUCUUGUAAGUGCUGCAAGGAUUAGAAUUGUUGGAGCAUAUACAAUAGUUUGAAAUAUUAUUGCAUUACAAUCAUUAAUUAAAUAUUGUAUAUUUUUUUUUUUGUAGCUGGGGUGAUGGUUGGGGAGAAGCCGGCUAUGUGAGAAUGAAGAGAAACAUUAACCAGUGCAGUAUAGGCGUCAUGCCAGCGACUAUGGAAUUCACAUUCAAUUAAAGAACACCUCGAGCAGCAACACAAAAUUCAGUGGUUGGCAAAGAAGAAUAUCCCUCUCGAUGAAUUGGCUUUUGUUUUUAUUAAAUCUUUACUUCGGGAUUUUGAGAUGGGCUCCACCUAUAUAAAACCGAUGAAUGUUAUCAUGGCAUAUGGUUUAUUUUUUAAUUAAAGGAAAUCCAUUUAAUUUA